rnacentral:lncRNA from 1 species
CUCCAAGCAAUCUUGCAAGCAUGCUCUGACGGAUGGAUCCAUCUCCUUGCUCUUCAGAAGCUUCUCUGUGUAAGACCUCGUGCGUGUCACGUUGUGCCGCAACAGCUUGAUGGAGACGAGGCCGAGCCCCCGGAGGUUGUCGCAGUGGCAGUACGGGUUCGACUCGAGCGACGCGACGCAGAACUUGUAGCUGACGUUGGGGUCUUCUUGCGCGCAUUUCUUGCACGUUUCGUGGAUUAUGAUGGUGCUGCCGCCAUCUGCAGAUGCAGCGUGGACGGAGGUGAGGAAGAAGAUGAGGAGUAGAGAGACCGAAGGACAAGGACUCAUUUUUCGUUUUCUUGUUGAAUGAGUUUUAUCACGUCUCAGGGAGGAGCAAUGAUUUAUUAGAGGAUAAUCUUUGCAUCUAUUCAUGCGACGAUGCCAAAUUGGAGCGCUAAUUUAUUUUAUCUCUCCAAUGCGUGGGUAAGACGCAUGAUAUAAGCAUCCAUAUGUCGGCCACUCACGAUGAGGCCAGUUUAAUACGUAUGACUCUGGAACUUAUCUAUACAAUAGACUUUCUCGUAACAAAAAACAAAAAAACAAAAAAAACAAAAACAACAAGAAAAAAACAAAAACAAAAACAAAAAACAAGAAAGCUUAUGUAUACGAAUAGAGGAAUUUUUCAAGAUAUGUGCAUUACCCAUCCUCCAAAUAAAAUAUGCCAGACUUUUUGUUCAAGUCUAGGCUGGGACCUUGUCAGUCACAAUUGAGGGUUGUCUAGGCGAGGGCGAGGACCGUUGCCCAAAUCCAGGUAAGGGUGUCGGGUCCUAGCCUGAGGCUGGCAAGGAUCAUGCCUCGCUCCUCGCCAACCUCAAGUGAGGCCUGUGGCCUGACUGAUGCCCUCGCCAGCCCACAGUUGGGGAAAAAAAGAAAGGAAAUAACAAUUUCAUUUGGAUGAAGGAUAGUACAUAUAUCUUGAAAAAUUCCACGAUUGUAUAUGUGACCUUUUUUUCUUACAAGAAAUUCUACUGUAUAGAUAAAUUAUAGAUUCAUAGGUAUUCUACUGGCCUCAUUAAGAGCAGCCUACACAUAUAUUGUGUGACUAAUUCACAAGAAAAUAUUAAGUAUAUCGUCUUAUCACGUAGGCAAUAAACACACCCCAUUCAACGCUCGCGCACGUGUCUAGGUGGCUCCACUGGUCAAUCCUUUCGUCUUCUUCACUGUUUCUUUCUUUUUUCUUCUCUUUUCUUAUUGGCCUGUGGUCGGCAUUUUGCCAUGACCGAUGAUAGGCCACAACCAAGGGUCUAGGGUCUAGCCCUCGCGGUGAGGGCUAGGGUGAGGGCGAGGGCGAGGGUGAGAAAGCAAUGAGUGGGCUAACGACCGAGGAGGAGCCAUCGGUGAAGAAGCGAUCGGACAUCCAAGUGGUGUUGAAGGCUUUGUUGGAGCCGGUGGCAGAGCCACAUUCGAUGUGGAAGGAGACAUUGCCGACACAGAGAAGAAGAGGAAGUUGAAGCGGACAGGAGGAGUAGGAGAGAUUAAGAGAAAUUUUGACACGUGAGUCCCACUUGGACACGUGACAAUUAAUGAGUAGAGGGUUUUACCGUCUACGUGACAAGACCAACCUGUCUUAAAUAAUAUGCUAAUUAGAGAUUUUGAGCCAUGUUUUGCUUGUAGUGGUUCUUCCUUCCCUUUAAGGAAAUGAAUUAUGAAUAAUAAUUUAUGAUCGAUCGGCCCGUAGCUCCAUUUUACACUCUUUUCCCGUUCUAAAACGGAAUUGGCCAUUUAAGUUUGUUUUGUAAGUUUAACCAAAAUCACGGAGAAGAGAAAAAUAAAAGAAAAAAGGGGAGGGGGGUGUCAUUUCAGAAAGGAUGGCAUCAUUCUCAUGAAAGAGCCUCCUAAUUGAUAGAUGUGCUGUGCAAAUACAGCCCUUCUUGAUUAAUCUUCAUUUCAUAACUCUCUCGAGGGUUAUCCCUAUUAGAAUUAUCCUGGUUAGAAGCCUAUGUCGACGGCGACGAUUAAUAAAGAGUUUGCAUUACACUGAUGAAAGCAUUCGAUCAGCCAACUUAUAAAUUCUCCAUUUAUGCUCCGUUCGUUUCGCGGAAAAUAACUUCCGGGAAAAUAUUUUCCGAAAUUUCCGGUGUUCGGAUGGCGGAAAACACACGGUCAAUGGAAAAUAUUUUCCGGUCAACGGAAAAUCCCUCUUGAAUGAGCGGAAAAUGUUUUCCUCUUUUUGAAAAGAGGAAAACAUUUUCCGCAGCUCUCACAUGAGCUCUGGUGCUCCCGCUGCUCUUUCCUCCCUUCAUGUUCUCGUUCUCUCUCUCUCUCUCUCUUUCUUGCUCUCCCUGCAGAGGAGGCUUCGACGACGUCCUUCCUCGGGAUCAGCCUCCGCCCUCCCCGGCCGCUCCUACCCGCCUGCUCCAGCCGGGAAGCCGCCGCCGCCGCGCUCCGCUUCCCCGGCGGCUCGAAGCCGCUCGGGAGAAUCCGGCUCAAGAGGGAGCACCGCGGAGGCGCCGGGAGGCUCGCGGGGAGCCCGCCGUCCAGGCCGCUCGUCGUGCGGCCGCGAGCCGUGAGCUCGUCGGAUCUGGCGGCGGAGCUCGCGGCUCGCCGGAUCUAGCGGCAGAGCUCGGGCUCCCGAUCCGGGCGAGCUCGAGCUCUGUCGCCAGAUCCAGCGCGCUCGGGUGAGAUCGGCCGAGCCUCGAGCUCACCGGAUCUGGCGGCGCAGCUCGCGGCUCGCCGGAUCUAGCGGCAGAGCUCGGGCUCCCGAUCUGGGCGAGCUCGAGCUCUGUCGCCAGAUUCGGCGAGCCGGGUGCGUCUGUCCAGCUCGAUCUCACCCGAGCUCGCCGGAUCUAGCCACCGGGUCUUGGUCGGCCGCUGGGAGGAAGGAGGUGGCGGCGGCGGAAGUCGCUCGGGAGAAAGGAGGUGGCGGCGGUGGAAGCUGCUUGGGAGAAAGGAGGCCACAGCGGACGACGCCGCUCGGGAGGAAUCGGGAGGAAGAAGGAGAUGGAAGGAGGAAGGAAAAAAAAAAGAAAUAAUAAAUAAUAAAAAUUUCUAUUUUAAAAAAUAUAAAUAAUUAAAAAAAUCAUUUUAAAAAAAAUAUAAAUAAAUAAAAUAAAUUUUUGGGUCAAUUAAAAAUAUUAAAAUUCAAUUUUUAAUAAUUUUUUCUAGGAAAAUGUUUGAGCUAACGAACAGUGGAAAAUAUUUUCCACUCAAAUUUUAGAUGUUGGCCGAACACCGGAAAAUAGAGUCAUUUUCCUGGAAAAUGACUUCCAGGAAAAUGUUUUCCGGAAACAUGAUAUUUUCCAUGAAACGAACGGAGCCUUAGUGCAAAGAGUUCUAUGCCGUCAUCAUUCGUUCUGUUGCCCUAGCCCGUCAUUAUCAACAUUUCAUGUUUGUGCUUGUCAUCUUAUGUAUUUGUCAUAUCCUUAAUUUACUUCUCAUCCUUAUAAUGGCCUUCCUCCAAUUUUUUGUAUGUACAAAGUUAAAUUCGUGCGUAGCUUUAAAAUGACAUCGAUCAUCGACUGAAGAUUUUCUCAGAAGUGGAAGAAGCAAAAAUGAAACCGUGGGGGGAGAGAGAGAGAGAGAGAGAGAGAUUGUUCGAUGAGGUGAUGUGCGGAGGGAGGCUCCGCCACUUAAACCCCGAAUUUAAGUGGCAUUUCCUAAUUCGGUUUUUUAAAAUUUUAAUUUUCUUCUUUGACAUUGCCCUUUGACUCACCCAAAAUUCAUGGAGUGAGUAAAGUGAGUUGAGAUUUUACAUUGUGAAAAGAAUUACAGCUCUAUUAAAACGACAAAGCUUGAAAAUUACAUGUUCCUCUCUUAAGUGUAACAUAAUCCAAUUCGAUCCCCUAAAAAAAAACGGAUUAAAUCUCUUGGUGGCUGGUUUAUCAUCUCAUACAAGAUUAUCACAGCAUUAUUAGACUUGAUGAUCCAAUUAGCUAGCCAAUCUGUACAUGCAUUUUCCUUUCUAUUAUUAUGGAGAAUACUAACCCGUUGAAAAUAUAUGGUCAUAUUUUUCAAUUUGAGAAAUGAGUGUGUCGCCAAAAUGAAGAGAUUGAGUUGAAUAUUGAAGUCACUUGCUAUUCAACCUCCACAACAAAUUUUGGUAACACACACUGCCACCGUCUGCACGAAUGGAGCAAUCCAAUUGCCUUAAUCAUCAGAAAUGAGUCCACUUAUGGAAGCUCAACUCGAGUUGCCUUUAAAGGUCCCAUUGGAAUUGAAUUUGACCAACUAGAAUGAGGGGGUCCAACCUUUGAACCAACUAGAAUGAGGGGGUCCCAACCCACAAACUUUACUUAAAUUUUCUUUUCGAGGGCACAUUAUCUUGUUUCUACCAUCCUAAUGGGCAAGAAUAUCCUUAACAAUAUCCUUAACAUAUCCUAAGAUCAAAUUCACAGGCACACUGGAAGAAGAGAAAUCCUUCAGGGAUAGCCUUUGGUUCCUCUAGGUUCACAAAUGCUAGCGAGUUACACCAAAUACUAGCACCCAAUAUAUGGCGAAUUAUAUAUAUAUAAACUAAUCAAAUCAUAAUAAUAUGGGAAAAUUUUAAAGAAAGACCCAAAGUGCUCUUAAUUUCUCAAAUAGGGGCCUGAAAUGAAUCUUGUCUCAAAUAGAGGUCUCAAGUGCCAUUAUUUUCUCAAAUAAGUAUUUAAAGUGAACCUUAUUUCAAAUAAAAAUCUGAAGUAGGCAUCCCAGUCUAAAAAAAGAACCUAUCCUCUCAAGCUAGUCAAUGGCAUUUUCCUUCCUUUUGGCUUUUUUUUUUUGGUAACUCAAGGAACCCCGUAAGCCGAUAGCCGGCGAGCAAACUCUGGAGGAGCGACUGCAGGACCCACCACCACAGUACUCCAGGUAAGAAUCCCUAACAAUGCCUCUGAGAUUCGAACUCCGCCCCUUCGUAAGGGGGAGAGAGCCCAAGCCAGCUGCGCUGUUAUAGGCGGUGGUUAUUAAGUUAUAAUAAACUUCCUUUUGUUUUGCUUUUUUGUAUUUUUAAUUUUUUUCUUUAAAAUCAUGAAUUCAAAGAAAAGGCUAAAAAACUUUUAAAAAAAAAAACAUAACAAAACAUAACUUCUACAAAAAAAAAAAAAUUCCAAGCGUCAGUUGAUGGCUACAAGCGAUAGAGGCUUGUUGGCCUCCCACUUUUUCUUUCUUUUUAAGAUUUAGUCUUUUUUAAUUUUUUAAAGAGAAAAACAGAUAAAGGAAAAAUGACAGAAAAUAAGAAAAUGUAAAUAUGAAAAUGCCCGUGAUCAGCUAGUGAGGUCAAGUCAUUUUUUGAAAUUAAUAUGGUCACUUCAGAUCUUUAUUUGAGAAAAUGAGAAUAUUUCAGGUCCUAAUUUGAGACAAGAUUCACUUUGGGUCCUUUUUAAAGAAAUUAAGGAUACUUCGAGUCUUUAUUUGUAAUUUUUUUCUAAGAAUAUUUGUUUUCUUGGGUUGAGAAGAUGAAUUUGAAUUGACAUGUAUUAUGCGUUCGUUGGACCAUGUAUAAGAGUGUGCAACACCUUAUUCAAAUCAAUCGAGUAUUAAGAGAUUUUCACCCAUUUCACUUGAGAGAAAAGCUUAAUGUGGUUAAAUUUAAGAAUUUGAGCCGUUAAUGAUAUCUAGGAUAUAUCUUCCCGAUAUAUAAAUUUUAAAAUCUUCAAUCCCAAUGUGACUCUCCACCUUAGAGUGGAAGAUGAACUUAGUCCAGUACAUGCCUAAAUGAAAAUAAAAAGGACAACAAGAGGAGCUUGUUUAAGGGUAUAACUGGAGACAUAAUUGAAAAAAUACACCAAAAUAUCCUAUUUUUAAACGGGCAACACAACAUAAAACAACAUAGGAAAAGCCUGUUUUUCCCAAGUUUUUAGUAUCACCAAUCUGAAAAUAAUAUUACUUCAAUUUCCUUAGACAUUUUCGGGGAAAAGUACCAAAAAAGUCAUAAACCUUUUGUAUUAGUACCAAUUCAGUCAUAAAUUUUUUAAUUUGAUCAAUGUAGUCCUAAACAUUUUCACAUUGGUACUAAUUCAGUCUAUCUGGCUAAUUUAAGCCAAAAAUUGCUGACGUGGCCGUUGGCGGUUUAUGUGGUGCCACGUGGAUAAAAUUUAUAAUUUUUUAAAUUAUUUUUUUCUUUUUUUCCUUUUCCCCUCUCUCUCUCUCUCUCUCUCUCUCUCUCUCUCUCUCUCUCUCUCUACCCCUUACACCUUGGCCGGCGAGGACGUCGGCCACAGGCCAGUUGGGGUGAGGGCCCCUGCGCCCUAAAUUGGCCAUUGGGGAGGGCCGUCGUGCCCUUGCCAGCCACAAGCAAGGGCGUCGACCCCCGCCUAGAUCCAAGCGAGGGCCAAAACCCUCGCUCAUUGGUUGGCGAGGGCCUCUGUGCCCUCGUCGAUAGCAGGCAAGGGCCACGGUGGCCUCCCUUGUGGCAUUGCAGCUCUCACCCACCACAAGUGUGGGCCUUCGUGCCCUCGCCUGUGGCUAACGAGGACGCGACGACCCUCUUCGAGGACGCGGAGGCCCUCACCCUUGGCUAGCGAGGGUCGCUGCACCCUCUCUUGUGGUCGACAAGGGCGCAGAGGCCCUCACCAACCAAUGGGCAAGAGUUUUGGCCCUCGCCUAGAUCUGGGCAAGGGCCAACACCUUGUGGCUGGCGAGGGCGCAGCAUCCCUCGCCUCAACUAGCCUAUGGCCAACGAUGGUUAGUCAACAACCUUGCCAGUGAAGGGGUGAGGAGAAAGGAAAAAAUAAUAAUAAUAAUAAUAAUUUAAAAAAUCUUUAAAAAAUAUUUAAAAAAUUAUAAAAUUUGUCUACGUGGCACCACAUAAGACCGCCAGUUGCCAUAUCAGCAAUUUCCGAUUUAAAUUAGUCGGAUGGACUGAAUUGGUACUAAUGUGAAAAUAUUUAUGACUAAAUUGGUCCAAUAAAAAAGUUAAGAAUCGAAAUGGUACUAAUGCAAAAGGUUUAUGACUAUUUUGAUACUUUUCCCGACAUUUUCCUUAAAAAUGUAAUUUGUGGAAAUACAUAUAGGAUGGAGCUUAAGGUCUGUUGCGUCGAGGAUAGCCUUCGAUUGUGAGAAAACCACUGGCUCGUUCAAGGGGUUGUAGCUCGAGAGCGACAAUGCAAUCGAAGCCUAGGGCGAUUAAGAUCUAGCCGAGAAAGUCGGGGAUGUGACCAUUGCUCCGCAAGCCUCCCGAAGCUGAGAUUGUCAUUCUUGUGGCUUAUUUUCUUGUUUAUGUAAGAAGCCCAUUUCUAAGUCUUGUUUGCUGCAUCUAUCAGACUUAAUCAUCAUGGAACGAGCGGACGUCUUUAAAGACAGCCUCUUUAUGUUGGAGCAUAUGCAGACAAUGACCAAAAGUUGAGACCCUUUGUGAGGUCCUUCUUCUAGUGAGAUGUUUGGGAUGUACAUCGCACAAUGGGUGAUCGAUCAUGCGCCCAGGAAAUGGCUAAGCUUCUUGACCCGAGAAUAACUUGGUUCUGGAGAUAUGGAACACAAAGACACCAAAAACCUCUUUAUGUGGUGCCGGGCCAAGAAAGUUGUGUGCUGAUAUUGGAUGACAUAGAACAGGUAAGUUGAUUUCAAAAUAACUUCCAAACACAUUACUGUAUGGUUUACGUUUCCAAAUAAUUUUUUAUGAAGACGAUAGUAGGUCCUCUUUAAAUUUUCCGAGAUCAAUUUUGGAUGGGGUUGCUCGGGAUUAGUGUUCGAUUGCUUUGCUAUUUCCUUUUCUCUUUUGCUGCGGGGGUUUGACGUCAAUCUUUGUUUCCUUGUGUUUGCACAUUUUAAAUGUGGUUGCAUGAGGACUGUUGUUCUGUUUUGUUUUGCUGCCCUUUUUUGGGGUUUGGCUAGGAGGGUUCUGUUGGGAAUGACUGAUCCCCGAAAAACCGGAUUCGACACUAAAUCGAACCCCUAAAUCAAUGUGGAAGACGAGCCCGAGAAAAAUAACACGUAUCACCGAUCCUAAAGCACACCACGGAUUCGAGCGUACCUUUUAGCCACAGAUUAGACACCGACGCCGUUAGAGGAAGAGAAACUUGAUUCUGUUCGAUCCGGUGAAACAAAUUGGCCUACGCGCUUCACUGUUUUCCUUUUUGCUUUGAAGAAAACAAGAGAGAGAGGGAGUGUUCGUUGAGAGAAAAACGUACGUCUUUUUCUAAAACAAAACGGUGUAUUUUUCUCUCUCUCUCCUCCCUUUUAUACCUCUUUCCUUCCACGGGCCCUAUUCCUGUGGGCCCGGCUUUCUGGGCCCAACUUGGGCGGACGGGCCUUAAGCCCAAUACUAAUAAGGCCUUCAUCUCCCACUCGCACAUGGUGGGCCGAACAGGAUUCUCUUUACCUCUUUUCAACAUUCAUACCGGUGAAUAAUCCGUGCGACCAGCAUACUUUGAGAGCUCGUUGCUAUACAUCUGUUAGGAAUAUAUAGCAGCUCAUAAUGGGCGUCACACUCCGAGUAGACUUAGUAUGCAGUACCCUAGAUCGAUCGAUCACAUUUAUAUCUCUCUUGAUCUCCUUUAAACAACGAUAUAUAUAUUAUAUUCACAAUUACAGUUAUCACAAAGACAAUCAUAAUUGGUCGACUAGUGAAUACAAAAACUACAAUGUGAUUCUCCAAAAUCGAUCUUCCUCUUUCCUUCAAACUCUCAAUUUCAGUUCAGCUUGCUUUUCUAGAAAUGUCCCAUUAGAUCGAAUCAACUCAUGACCAUUGGCAACAUCCUAAGAUAGCAAACACUAAAUAGAAACCUUGAGAAUAAUUAAAAGUCAUGAGGGCACUAAAAUUGAGGAACUCUUUUCCUCAAGAGUCUCACACGUCAUAAAAGUUGAGAUCAAACUUUUUGCCACUCUUAUUGGUCGGCUCAUGCAUACGUAGUAUGAAAUACGUAUUACGGUAUUAACUCCUUUCCCAUGGAGCGUAUGUCUACACCUUUCAAUACCAUACAGAUGAUAGUUCAGACAUACCCAAUGUCUAACUUAAGUUCACGUAUCUACUCUUUUACAAAAAUCAUCAGAACUCGCAUCUAGCAUCUUAGACAGAUAAAGUAAAAUAUGUGGGGUAUUUUACUUUCGGACAUAGUAAGUAUUAUGUCCUCAUCUUAACACUCAGUUAAGGCGACAUGCGUAUUUUAAGCUUGAGCUCUCGAUUAUCACCUAGAUAAUAAGCUUAAAAACAGUCUCAUCUCUAUUUAUCACAGUAAAUAGAGGCGAUUACCCGUGUGAGUGGGCUAAUCUUAUAUCUGUCCGACAUACUUCUCUUAACUUAAAGUAAUGCACUGAGCAUUAAGAUGCAUAAAGAUCAAACAAAGAUUCAUAGGCAUUAAUGAUGAAAACACAAAUUCAUCAAAUGUGAACACUUAGGGAAAUUACAAUAUUCAGUACAUCAGCCUCUACACAAUCCUAGAGAUUUCAUAUGGCCACAAAACACAUCUCUGGGUAUUGGCUUUGUCAUAGGAUCUGCUACCAUUCUAUGCGUAGUAUGUACUCUAAGUUCACAUCUUUUCGUGCAAUCAUAUUCUUGACAAAAGUAUACUUUGUAUAUAUAUGUUUGGUUUUGCCAUGAUAUUUUGGAUCUUUGGUGUACGCUUUUGCUGCUUGGCUAUCACAGUUAACCAUCAAUGAAUCUACAGCACUUCAAAUAACACCUAAAUGAUCCAAUAAUCUCUUAAACCAAACAUCUUCUUUUAUUGCUGCUGAUAAUGCCACGAACUUAGUUUCCAUCGUAGACAAGGCUAUACACUUUUGUUUCUUACUGCUCCAAUAUAUGGUACCAUUAUUCGGUAAGAAAACAAAUCUAGAGGUAGAUUUUCUUUCAUUUAAAUCUCCUCCCCAAUCAACAUCAAAAUAGCCUUAGAGUCGUAGAUCAUUUCCUUAAUAACUUAACGUAUGAUCAGCAGUCCCCUUUAGAUACCUUAGUAUUCUCUUAACGACUUUCCAACGUGCUUGACAUAUGUCAAGUCUUGUACAUAUCAUAGCGUACAUCAAGCUCCCAACAGCACUAGCAUAAGGAACAUGUUUCAUUUGUUCCUUCUCUUGUAGAGUCCUUGGACACAGUCUAUGGCUCAAUCCUUCACCUUUUGCAAUAGGAGUGUCAAUGGGUUUACAAUCCCAUAUCCUUCAAUUCAAAAUUGGAAGACAACCAACUUUUGACAGUAUUGACAAGCUCCAUAUUGCUUCCGGCAAUUAGUAUAUCAUCAACAUAUAAUGAUAUGAUCACAAAUAGACCUUUGGAUCUUUUGAUAUAUCCUCAUCUAUCAUUGUAAAAUCAUAUGCCAUUAUGGCAUUAUGAAAACGUAUAUACCAUUGUCUUGACGACUGCUUAAGGCCAUAUAUCGACCCCCAAAGUCGACAUACCUAUUCUUCUUGGCCUUUCACUAUGAAACCAGCAGGUUGUUCCAUAUAUAUUCCUUCUUCUAAUUCUCCAUUGAGGAAAGCAGUCUUUACAUCCAUUUGAUGUAACUCAAGAUCCAUACUAAACACUAUUGCCAGAAUUAUGCGAAUCAAGGUAAAUCUCAUUACAGGAGAAAAUGUAUCUUCAUAAUCUAUUCCUUCCUGUUGAUUAUACUCAUUCGCCACAAGGCGAGCCUUAUGCCUUUCUAUCGAGCCAUCAGCUUUUCGCUUUAUUUUGAGAACCCACUUGUUCCCAAUAGCUUUGUGUCCUUUUGGAAGAUCAACCAGUUCCCUGACUUGGUUUGACUUCAUUGAUUCCAUCUCCUCUUUCAUUGCAUUAAUCCAUUUUUCCUUAAUAUGGCAAUUCAGAGCCUCAUUAAUAUUUCUUGGCUCAUCCUCAUCUUGUGGAGCAACCAUAAAAGUUUCCCUUUCAAUGUCGAAACGUCAACGAGGAAUACUUUGGCAACUUGUUCGCUAUAUGAGAGAAUGUACACUUAGCACAUCAUUCCCCAUUAUGCUCCCACUCGGAUUAGAUAAUGACGAUAUCAUCUCAUCAUGUGGUUGUAAUUGAGAAUGAGUUGAAUUCAAUUCAUCACUUCUCAUAUUAUUCCCACUUAGACGAACUCCACUAAUAUCAUUAUCUUGAUCCAAGGUUUCAAAUAGGGGUAAUCUUCCCCUAUUUCGCCCUUCUUAGGAAAUUCAUCCACUAAGAAUGUGACAUCCCGUGAUUCAAAUUCAGUUAUACUCCCACUUUCUUGCUCACCUAUGAACACAUACCCUUUCGAGUGUUCAGAGUAUCUCAUUAAAAUGCCCUUCUUUCCUUCAGGACUCAAUUUCCCAAACUUGUGAGAGGACUCAUAAGUAUAGACGGUAUAACCCCAUGGCUUAAGAAAACUUAUGUCCGGUUUUCUACAUGUCCAUAACUCAUAUGGAGUGGAACUAACUGAUUUGGAAGGCACCCCGUUAAGUAUAUAGACAGCAAUUAACAACACAUCACUCCAAAAAGUGAUAUGUAAGUUAGCAUGCGCCAUCAUGGACCUAACCAUUUCCAGUAGGGUUCUGUUUCUUCUCUCUGCAACACCAUUUUGUUGAGGAGUAUAUGGAAUAGAUAACUGUUUUUCUAUUCCUUUUUCAUCACAUGAUUUUCUGAACUCAUCAGAUAAAUAUUCUCGACCUCGAUCGGAUCUCAAUACUUUUAUUUUCUUGUCUAAUUGAUUUUCUUCCAAGUUCAUAAACCUUUUGAAACAACUUAUUACUUCAAAUUUAUGAGAAAUCAAAUAGACAUAUCCGAAUCGAGUAUAAUCAUCAAUAAAAGUGAUGAAAUAAACAGCCCCAUGCCUUCCUUUUACAUUCAUUGGACCACAGACAUUAGAAUGGAUUAAAUGCAGAGGAAAUUCAGCUCUUUUUCCUUUUCCAAAUGGUUUCCUUGUUGUUUUCCCUUCUAGGAAAUGCUUACAUAUGAACAAAUCGACUUUUUCAAUAUUGCCUAACAAACCCUCUUUGGCUAGUCUAUUCAUACGCUGUUGGCCAAUGUGACCAAGUCUAGCAUGCCACACAUUCACAUCAUUAUCAUAUUUAUUGGGAGACGUGAGAAGGGAAUAACAAACAUUAGCAUUAACAUAAUCAAUAUCUAAUACAAUAAAACCAUCCAGAAAAUAACCACAACCAUAGUAAUUUGUAUCCAAAAACAAAUUCACACAUUUAUUACAGAAGUUCAUAUUAAAACCUAGUCUAACCAACACUAAAACAGACACUAAAUUCCGACGAAUCUCCGGAGCAUACAAUACAUCAUGAAGGAACAAAGUGCGUCCACCACGCAUAUUCAGUUGGCAUGUGCCAAUUCCUUUCACUUCAACUCUGGAGUUGUUUCCCACAUUGAUCCACUUAGUUCUAGUUGGUACUCGUCAGAAUUCCACGAAGGAUCCUCUAUCCUUCGCUACAUGGUCCGUCGCUCCUGAAUCCACAGUCCACAAAGGAUUAGACUCAGUUAAGAACAUAGAACUCGACACAAAAGCAAAGUUCUAAAAAGUACAAGAGGUGCAUACCUUCUUUGGCUCACGACAGUCGCGAGCAUAGUGACCCUUCUUGUCACAGUUGUAGCAUUUCACCCUUGCAAGCUUUUUCAUGCGAGGACGCUUCCCUCUUUCAUGUUGGUUAAACUUGGGUUUCUUCCCUGAAGGACCUGCUUCUUCCUUGCCUUUCCCCUUAUCAAACCAGUUAGGGCGCUUGCGCUUGAAGCUCGAAGCUCCAUUUGAGCUAGAACUUGCAUGAUAGAGUUCAGCAUCCGGCUUAGCCGCCAACAGGCGGUCCUCUUCCAGCUCAAGAUGACGCAUUGCAUCCUCAAAGGUUUUGAUAUUUUCAUUAUGAGUCAGGUGCACCUUCAUAUGCUCCCAACUCUGAGGCAAGGAGCGAAUCACUGCUUGCACUUGCUGCUCAUCUGUGAGGACAUGGCCAUCAUCUUUCAGCUCAGUUAUCAUGUUUGACAUCUUUCUAAGAUGUUGCUUCAUGGUCUGACCAUGAGGCUUCUUAUAAGAGUCAAACCUGAUAGUGAGCUGCCUCAGUCUAGUCACCGAAGUAUGACCAAAUCUAGCUGCCAAUGCCUCCCACAUUUCCUUAGCAUUGUCAAAACGCUGAAACUUUCGCAUGAUGUCAUUUUCCAUGCUGCUCAGCAACGUGAUGUGAGCUAGAUAGUUCUUUCUUUUCCACGCAGAAAAAGCUUCUUUGUCUCUUUUGUGCUGUGCAGUGGUUCCCUCUUCAGGUUCUACCAUGGUCAGGUUAAGAGCCUCAAGUGCUUCUUGCUCUUCCAGCACAUACUGGAUUUUCAUUUGCCAAAUUUCAUAGUUGUCACCAUUGAGCUUUUCACCUUUGUUCAGCUUGGCAACUAUGCUCUUUGUGGCUGAAGCCAUUGAUCUGAACAAAUCAGACAAAUAUGCACGAAUUAUUAAUGCCUAUCAUUUAUGCAUCCCUAUUUACAUAGACUCAUCAUAUUAAUGAAUAAUUUCAAGUAAGGCUUCAGAAUCAAAAGGUCACUAUGUUUCCAAUCAUCCUCCAAAAAAUCCUAACUUAAAAUUAUCAUCAAUAUAAUUGUCUUAUGCAAAAUCAAUUCUAUGAAGCUACAAAAACUUCUAAAACUACCCACAGCUAAUUACCCACAGCAACCAGCAAUAACAUAAAGCAAUAUAUAAUAGACAUCCAAUAAAACAAUAAUGCUUUCAAUUAACACAAUUAGGUAGUAAUCAUUAUAUAAUAUGUCCACAAAUCACACUUAACAUAUAUCAGCCAAUAUAACUAACACCAAGUCAGCACACGAACUGGGAAAUAUUAUCUUUUGUUCAAUUUCUUGAUCUUUUCCCUCGAAACAAUACAGUAAUAUUCAUUUACAAAAUCCAUCACAAUUUUCUUAUAGGACGCAGCUCCGUUGACAUCCCAUAUGUGAUUCAACACAUCUUGCCAUUCAGGUGGAAGAGUGUUUAUGAAAAAUCGCACCAUCUCUGACUGUGACAUAGGACGACCAUUCCAUAUGACCUAUUGAAUUUUCCCGUUGACUCCAAGGACAUGAUCAAUUAAGUCACCUCUCUCCCAUCGAUGAUCAGUCAGCUCAGCUAUCAACUUAGACAGCCUAUCCUUUUGUUCAUCGGUAACUACGCGAAUAGGUGUGCGCAACCUCAGGGGAGGCAUUAUUCCUGCAACAAAUGUAGAACAAAUAAGGGAUCACAUUAUAAUCCACAUAGACUUAAUUGAAAAGGAAACACAUUCUUUUCCUCUUUUUUUUUUUUUUGGGUCAACGGUCGUCAACGGUCAACGGUCGUCGGACCGGACAGACCGCUCGGACCGGUCGGACCGGUUCAGGUGAACCGACGGCACGUGCCGCACGCGUGUGCCGGAUGACGUCACGCAGGCAUCAUCCAACACGUGCGGCGCGCGUGCCGACGUCCUCGGGUCGUGUCGCCGGUCGGGUCGUCGGCCGAUGACCGUCCAGCGAAACGUCGUCGUGCUGACGUCAUCGAUGACGUCACCCUAGCGGUUACUGACCGUUGGGUGACGUCAGCACGCGUCGGUCUGCGACCGGCACGUGCCAGUUCACCGGCCGGUGGCAAGCACGCGCCGGUUCGCCGACUGGCGCGUGUGUCGCACGCGCUGGGUGAGCCAGCGCUUCCGGCCGCACGUGUGGGCGCGUGCGGCGUCGCCCGACGGCGCAUAACCUGUCCUCGGACUCGUCUCGACGAGCCCUUUCUCCCUAUCUAAUCAGAAUUCGAUUUCGACUUACGAAAACUCGGAAAAAUGGGUGAACAGCGCUCGGGUGUCGGGAUUUCUCGCCCCGAUCCGUGCCGGCCAAUUUUAUUCGCGAAAAUUCAAUCAAAAAACAUCAAACAGGUCGGGAAAAUGUGAACUAGGGCUCUGAUACCAAUGUUGGGAAUGACUGAUCCCCGAAAAACCGGAUUCGACACUAAAUCGAACCCCUAAAUCAAUGCGGAAGACGAGCUCGAGAAAAACAACACGUAUCACCGAUCCUAAAGCACACCACGGAUUCGAGUGUACCUUUUAGCCACAGAUUAGACACCGACGCCGUUAGAGGAAGAGAAACUUGAUUCUGUUCGAUCCGGUGAAGCAAAUUGGCCUACGCGCUUCACUGUUUUCCUUUUUGCUUUGAAAAAAACGAGAGAGAGAGGGAGUGUUCGUUGAGAGAAAAACGUACGGCUUUUUCUAAAACAAAAUGGUGUAUUUUUUUCUCUCUCUCCUCCCUUUUAUACCUCUCUCCCGUGGGCCGGGCUUUUUGGGCCCAACUUGGGCGGACGGGCCUUAAGCCCAAUACUAAUAAGGCCUUCAGGUUCGAAUCUGUAUACAUACUAAUAUAAAGAGUGAGUCCACCGAUCUAUGAUAUUUGUGUUAACUGAGAAGUGACCAUGCAUUCUCUUCCUUUGGUCGCCGUAGCCUUUUGAAGCUAUAACUUUGUAUACAUCUUAUAGCAUGGCAACUGUAAACAAAUUAAAGAACAUAUUUAUGACAAGUCACAAUCCAAUGUUUCGUGCUUUAUUGAUUAUUUUUCAUUUCAUUGACAAUUUAGGAUCCCAAAUAAAACGUGGGCGUUUGACUUGAGGGGUUCUCAAUUAGUUUUUGGCUUUGAUAAAUGAUGUUUGCGUCGGCAUUCUUGAGGCCGAAGUCAAUGUUUCAGAACCAAAAAUUUCGGCCACGGCAGAAGAUGGUUUGUUACUUCCAAGAGGAACGCGAGGAAAAAUGGACUCGGGUUUAGAAUGCUGCGUGGACCGGGGAGUUUUCGUUAUACGUUGGUGCCAUCAGCCGACGCUUACUUAUCUUGUUAGCGUACUGGACCCCUGUAGGUAAAAGGAUCAAAUCAAGCCUUUUGUAACGCAGCAAUUUUUUCUGUGUCUGUAUUCCGCCCCCGCAAAUUUCAUCGUUUGAAAGCCUUAAACCCAGCAUGUACAAGCUCUUACUACAUUAUAUCCAGCUAGGUAAAAAAAUCUACUCAUAUAUGACAAACCAAAAGGCAGGCAUUUCCUCUUGCUUAAUGAAGAAGGCAACGGUCACCCCGAGCUCUUUCAGAGAAAGCCUAGAACAUCAGGAUCCAUACGGUUCAAGAUCAUUUCACAAGUUUUCAUCGAUUUUGACAUAACUAUUCCACGCUGGGCUGUACUCUCUAACAAAGGCAAGAUGGGACCUUUUAACAUAAGAAAAACUUUAGAGCUGCCGCUGGACUCAAUACAGAUUUCCCCGGUCCAGGCCAAAACCAAAAAACAUCUUCGGUUGAAGCUCUUCCCUGAAAAGGAAACUUCAAUCGGACAGAGGCGGAUCCAAGAACUUCGGCAAAGUCAAUACUUUUUGUUAGACAAGCACUCCAGGAAAAGUAAAGAAGUAUAAGAAUUGACAGAUGAGGGCAUGACACAAACAUACAGGCAUUAAAUGCCUAAAAGGGAGGCACAAGCUGCCGACGAAAUUAAUGCGCAGCUAUAUCAACGAUCGAUGUCAUUUUAAAACUACGCAUGCAUUUAAUUUUGUACAAACAAAAAGUUGGAGGAAGGCCAGUAUGGGUGCGUUUGUUUGUGUUUCUGUUCAAAAAUUGUUCAAGGGUAUUUCUGUUCCGAGGAACAAUUUUUUUUACCAGAAAAACGAGUUUGGUAAACUUGUUCCGGGAAUAAAAAAAGAACCGAAACACGUUUGGUAAAUUUGUGUUCUUUUUUUGUUUCUUUUAAUUUUUAAAUAUUUUUAUUUUCUUUUUCUUUUUUUCUUCUUUUGGCCGGUCACCGGCCUCGGCCAUGGCCGGCGACCGGCUGACAAGGGCCGGCAGCCUUGCCCAUCCACGGCGAGGCUCGGCCUUGCCUUGGUUGGGCGAGCUUGGGCUUGCCUAGAUCCAGCGAGGUCGAGCUCGCCCAGCCACCAGUCGCUUAGCGGUGGCCCGGCGAGGCUGGUGCGCCGGCGAUGCUCAACCUCACCGGGGGCCGGCGACACUUCGGCGAGGUCGCCGACCCUCAAUGGCGUCGCUGGCCCUCAACGGCCAGUCACUGAUCAUGGCCAAGGCUGGCGACCGGCCAAAGAAAAAAGAAAAAGAAAAGAAGAAGAAGAAAAAGAGAAGAAAAUAAUAGAAGAGAGAAAAUUUGUUCUUAAAAAUUGUUCCAGAAACAAUAAACAAGUUUUUUUGUUUAUUGUUUCUAUUCCAAUUUUAUUCUCGGGAACAAAAAAAAAAGAUUUAAAACAAAAACGCAAACAAACGGGAACGGGUUUUUGUUUUUUUUUUUCUCGGGAACAAAAAAAACAUAAUUUUUGUUCAUUAAAAAAAAAAAAACACAACCAUGCAGGCCUUAUAAGGAUGAGAAGUAAUCGAGGAUAUGACAAAUGCAUAACAAGCACAAACAUGAAAUGUCCGGAUCGGCUUGGAAGCCAACUUCUCAAUGUCGACCAACAGAUAAACCCGAAGGCAGAUCCCACAGAUAGAGAGGGAGAGAGACCGCGAGAGACAAAGGAAAGGAACGGAGCCGAACAUAACCAAUUUGGCUUUACUUAUAAUUUCCACUUAUAUGAAAAUAGUUUUUUUUUUCUUUUUUAGGGUUACAGUAGUAGUAGUGAUGAUGAUGAUGAAAUUGAAAAAAAAAAAUAUUUAUCACUUAAAAGAUAAUAGAAUAUUAUAAUUUCACCUGCAAUUGAUGUCUUUACACUUACCGAAAUUAUUCGAAUUUUUUUUUUGUCUAUGUUUGUAAAUAUAUCACAUUACCUACGAUGCACAAUGGGGUAGAGUCAACUUCAUGUAAAAUUUUAGCUAGAGUCACUUUCUUAUUAUCGUUGAAUCAAUUUUACUAUUUAUUACUUUCUCAUUCUCAUUGAGUUAAUAUUUUAGAAAAAUAUGUAUAUUUCUCUUAAUAUUUCCUUAAGAUAUAAUUUCUAAUUCUCAUAGGUCAAUUUUACUACAAAUUGUCUCGAGAUUUCCCUCCAAAUUCUCUCUUUUUCUUGAACUAAUGCCAAAUUCUCAUUUGAAAAAGAAAAGACUCAGUUCUUUGGAGUUUAACGUGCAAAAAUCACUUUUAGCAUUUCCAAGGCGACAUGAAGUUACCUGAGCAGAAGAUGGGUCUCGUGGCUGGGCGAACAUGGGUCUCGAGGGACAUUUAUUUCACACGUGAUAGAGGUUCGCAUUGUUUCUUAUGCGCCGUUCAUGCUCGUUCCAUGUUGCAGAGGAAUUGUUUCCAUCAAGAUCAGCAUUUCCACUUCGUCCAUCGAAACCCUCCCACCAAGAAAUAACCACAGCAAGAAAUCAAGAAAAAAUGCACAACUCUUCCCCAACAAACGAUGUUCCAGAAUCUAGCAGCGCCGGAUCAUCCUCACACCAGAAUCAUCUGGCCAAAAUAGACCAAGCUCCGGCGACAAACACCUUUUGCUACUGUAACUUCCUCCCCAGCAAAGCCGUUGAAGACGCGGAGAGGGCCCAAAGCAUUCCCCACAAGGUAAAACACAAGCCAGUCGAGAUCCGGGAUGAAGAUCGGCUCCCCCGGUCUGAUUCUCGCGACCGCCCGACCCCCUAAAAGGUCAUCGAUUAGCUCGAUCUUAGGACGGAGAAGCUGGUGGUCAGGGACCACAUAGCCUUGGAUAGCACGUUCCAUUGUGGCCUACGUCCGAUGUGCAAAACGUACAUGCAGGGCACAUGCACUAUGUGAUGAUACGUGAUGACGCAGAUUGCAACCAUGGUGGCAGCGGCGGUGACGGCAAUUGUGCGAAUCGACCUCUAUAUUUCCGCGGCUUGAAUGUACACUUGGCCAAGUGUCACGGGACCGCCUAUUACUUUCUGGAUUUGAGCGAUGUGUCCAUAACGAGACAACUCAAGGUGGGCCAUAUCAUUCUAUUAAGGGGGGACGCUCAGAAUGGUUGCUUCAUCAUGGAGGGACCUGACCAAGCACAUUGCAUGCAUGCACAUGUAAACCUUUUUGGUCGAAAAGAAACCAGAAUGUUAUGAACUUUUCGAGAUUUACAGAUUCGGGGGAGGAGGAGGGGGAGAUUAGUGGAGGCGAUAGGAUUUCUUUCCUUUUCUUUUCUCUUUUAAACAUUUCUACUCUUGAUAAUGAGAGGCAUUAUGCAUGAUGUAGGGCGAGUUAAUGGGACAUAUGAGUUUGGGACUACGCUUGUAUUGAAGUUUUUUUUAUGUUGAAGUUGACUAGUUUGAGAUAACUCUGCUUCGAAUUAUCACUAGGAUAAAAAGCAGAGUGAGUACGAAGAAAAUAGUUCAAAGAAAGAAAGGUUUCCAUAAAUGACUCAUAUUUGGUGGGGGAUUAACAUCCUUCAUAAUUAGAGGAUGAAUUGGAUGGAGAUGGUUUGCCUUCUUUGAAUAGGUGCACAUUAUCAUCCAGCAAAUAUCGGACGAUUGAACCCUACGACUUCGAGUUGGGGACAUGAUUGCUUUGUUUUGGUUAGUUUUCUAGAAGUCCAAAUUCAUCUGAUUUACUUGCUCGCCUGCUUUCCUCUUAAUGAAUGGGAGUCCUCAUAAACACUGGGCAUUUGCAGUAACAAACGUAUAUGAAAAUCAUAUUUAUUAGGAUUCACAUUUUCUUCUCAUCGUUGCUUGUUGCAACAAAGGGGAUCAAAAACUUGCGUUACUCCAUCAGGGUUAUUCCUUAACAGCGGGGAAACUGUUUGCAUCAAGAUCACCAUUUCCAAUUCCUCCAUCAAGACCCACCAACAAUUACAACUUGAGAAUCAAGAAAAUGCACAACUUUUUCCCAUCAAACAAUUUUGUCGAGUCCAGCAGUGCCCGGUCAUCGCCACCACCAAGAUCAUCAAACCGAGUUAACUAGGCUCCAGUGAAGAAGACACUUUUCUAUGACUUCCUCCCAAGUAAAGCCGUCGAAGACGCUGAGGGCCCAGGACAUUCCCCACCGGGUCACUUCAUCAACUUUUGUAUUUGAAGUACGUAACUUUUCUAAAUGUGUUAGCAUUUGAUUUUGAAAGUUGGUCGAUAUAUGUUAUUUCUGUUUUUAAUGGUCUUAACUAAUGCACCUGAGCAGUCAUUAAUAAGACUCAUAUUUUGAGAUCCAAAAUGGAUUGACAUCUUUUUUAUCAUUUAGGUACACAUUAGCAUCAAUUAUACACACUCUUUAAAUAAAACGAUACAUCAAUCUCUUUUGAGAUCCAUAAUGGACAAGAUUAAUCGAAUUACGCAAACCACAUUAAAAAAAAAAAAAAACCUCAUUCCCAAAACAAACAAAAUCUUAAACCAUCAUUCCCAAAACAACCAUUGCCUUGGUCGAUACUUCUCAAAGUUUUAAUAUUGAUAGAUAAACAAUUUUUCAAAUUUGAGGGUUCUUAAAAAAGAAGAAGAAGUUAUCCUCGUGAUAUAUGUAAACUGAGACUCUCAAUUGUUUUAUUUAGUAAAACGUCGUUCAUUGAAAGGUGGAUAAUCUCAUUGUACCGUAUAAAGGGAUGUUGACACCUAAAUUUCACUAUUUUACUUAAGAAUUAAUAGCAUUAAAAGUUAGGAAUUAAUCGCAAAAAAAAAAUUCCAAAAAAAUUUGUCAUCAAAAAGAAAAAACAAACAAAACAAAAUGCUUGAGGGGGGUCGGGUCGGGCCUGAUCUGGCCUUGGCCCGGCCCGGCCCGCCCCUCUCUCUUUUCUUCUUCCCCUUGCGUGGGCCUGGGCCGGCCCCAGCUUCUCCCCACGUUCAGCCCAGUCAACAGAACCGGUCUGCUCCGUCCCUGGCGUCUUGGGGCACGUGAAACCUGCAGAAGCAAAAGCAGCAGAGGGCAGAGGGGAAACAGCGACUGGGGCGGAGCUCCAACCAGGAGUGGGUGGUCGGGUCAAGCCGGCACUGCCAGCCAGCAUCGCAGGGGGACCUCGCGCACCAGCUGGUUCAAGCGAAGCACGCGAGAGGAGGAGGACAGAAGGGCAGAACACAGAGAACAGGGAAGGGGUGCGAACCAGAGGGAAACCAGAGAGAGAGGAGUCCGAGCGAGGAAGCGACUAAGGGAGAGCUAGAGGGAGCUGGAGCGAGACCAGAGAGCUCGAGAGAACGGAGGGCGAGCCAGAGGAAGAGGUCUUCGGCUAGGAGAGAGAGAGACCGAGAAGGAGGGUGAGCGAGAGAGCGACCUAGAGAGAGAGCGCAAGCUCGAGAGAGUGGUUGGUCGUCGCCGGAGGUCCGUUCGUCAGCCGCCAUUCGCCGCAGUUCUCCUCUCGAACCAGGUAGGCUUUGUUUCGACUGUGUGUCCCUUGUUUCUUGGGAGGCGUCGGGCCAGAGCUCGUGCCGACUAGUUCGCGCACGUUUCGGUCCGAGCCUGUCCUCCCCGGAAAGCUGCUAGCUGUUCUAGUAUGCGUCAUAGGGGUCUAUCAAGUGGAAAAUUCCCAUGUCAGUAGCGCACACCAAAUGCUUGUGAAAAUGCCUAAACGAUAUCUAAGUUCUACAAGUUUGUUGAAGCCAGAGAUAGUUGUUCUUCGUUCAUAUAUGUUCCGACUGUGAUUAACCUGUCAAUGAGCGAAUCUUCAGUAUUGCUUGUGCAUGUCGUGUUGAUGUUUGCCCAAAUCUAUGUCCCAAGUGAGUCUAGGUCCUCUUUCUAACUGAUGCACCUCCUCUGUUUGACAAAAUGUCCCAUAGAGAACCGAGAAACAACUCCGGUUUAAACUCAGUCUGAUUCGCGCUUGUUGAUAUAUAUGUUGGACCGUGCUUUUAUUGCGAUUUUUCGUGGAGUAAUCAUGUGUGUUUGAGCCGGGAUGUUUGCAUCCGAAAAUAGUUUAGCAGCCGCCGGAGUUAGGUGGCUGGCGGCGGUCUGCGCCAGUCGGGGUGGUUUCGGCUGGUGUUGUUGUUUGGAUGAGUUUCGGUGAGGAAGCAGUUUCGGGAAUUGAAAGGAGUGUCGCGAGGAAGGAGAAAUACGCUUCGGGAAGAGAAAGAGGGAGCAGGGAGGAGAGAGAACAAAAUAAAAGGAAAAGAAAAGAAAAAGAAACAAAAAGGAGGUAAUGAAAAGAAUUGAAAAAAGACAAAACGGAGGAAAAGACGUUGGAGGGGGACGUUAUGUGAAAAAUGCAUGAAUUUGAGGAGGGAGCAGCGUAAAAAGACAAAAUGGGAAAAAGACAAGAGAGAAAGAAAAUCAAAUAAAAAAAAUCAAAGUAUUAGAAAAUCGGUUUUAAUCUGACGCUGGUCGGAUUCGGAUUUGGGUCGGGUCAAUGGCUGGAUUUGGUUUUACUCGGUCCAAACUCAUUUUCACGAAUAUAAUUAAAAAAAUUCAAAAAUUUUCAAAAAAAGAAAAAAUUCAAAAAAAAAUUUCGAAAAUUCAAAAAACUCAUAAAACAUUAAAAAAUUCGACCUUUUUAAAAAAAAUUAAUUAAAAAAAUUAAAAAUUGCAAAAAUCUAGUUUUUUUUUUUGGAAAAUUCGAAAAUUCCUUUCUUUUUAUUAAAAAAAGAAAAAUAAAAAAAAAUUUAAAUUUCCUUGAAAGGGUUGAAAUUAAACUUUGGAGUAAUUUUCUCCCAAAAAUAGGAAACCUUUCAAUUUGGAAUUAUGUUUGAUUAAGCCUUUAAGGCUUUACCUUAAGGUUUCAAUUGUCCUUAGGGACAAAUGCCUUUGAAUGCACAAUAUUGAUAUGUUGAUUUCCGCUUCUCUUUAAUCUGAUUAGGAUUAGUAUUUAUCUUUUCUUUGAUGUUAAAUUUUUGCUCUUUCAUGCAAUUUAUUUAAUCACUUUCCUUGGUUGCUAAUUGUCAUUUUAAUGAUUGUGCACCCAUAUGAUCAUCUCACAUGUUAGUGAGUAGGUAUAAAAUCAAUCUAAACCGCCUGACAAAAAUAUUUUCUUUUAACAUGAGUAAGAUUAUGUACUGAAAGGACACUAGUUGAUUAAUUAAUGUAAUCAAGUCCCCAAUCCUAAAUUGUCGGUGAGUUUUUUUUUUUUUUUUACGGUUUUGAGCUUGCCCUGAGGAUCGGCUUGGAAACUUGAAGGCAGUGGCCAAAGCUCAGAUUCUCUUCUUUGGGCUCACCUCCUAGCCGUUGUGCCCUAAUCGGCUAGUGACUUCCACUUUCGAGCGCUCGCCAUGCUCUGUUUUGCCCUUUCUCGGCUCGAUCGUGACCGAGAGUUGUUGCCUUUCACUCAUACCUAUGCUGAGUGCAAACUAGGCGUCCUGUGCUGAUUUCGAGUCUUGAUUUGUUCGUUCUUUGCGGGUUUAAGUUCGUGCCCCGAAUAAAUCUAUUGUCUCCUCGCGGCCCAUGUCCAUCUUUGUUUCUUAAAAUGCAUAAGUCGAGUCAGCGUAUGGUACAUUAAAUCUUAGACUACUUUGAACACUUAUGAAUACGUUUGUUUUCAUGAAGGGUCACUCGCAUUGACUAAUGAGCAUGUUUACUAUUAAAAAAUUUUGUUAAGGAAAUCAUAUUUGAGUUCUAUUUCCUUAUUCCAUUCUCGAUCACCAGUGCGUGCGCUGUAAUGGUGGCCGAGUUUGGUGUUUCACAUGAUGAUUUGGUCACCGGAGAGCAACGACUUGGUUUUAUGGAUAAGCAAAGUUGGCUGUUAGUGAAAAACCAGGGCCGCCGGAGUCAAAGUCUAGUAAGACCAAAGGUGAAAACUCCACUCACCACUGGUUGAACGAGGCUGACGACAUUUGAGAGGUAAGAGCUUGGUGGGUCGGGCACAGCGUAGGUUUAAGCGAGUUUUGGGCUAGUUUGUUUUGUUAUAUUUUUCACUCAGCAAAAGAUUUAUGUGUUAGUCAAAUUUUCAUGGUGGUUCCAUAUUGCAAAGAAGCAUUUCCCCUAUCGGAAGCUCAACAGAUGGGAAUUAAAGAAAAUAUGAGUUGUAGGCUGCCGCCGAGGAAGUCCAUAAAGGUGAAAGAGAAAGUGGGUGCACAUGGUAAUACUGAACUUAAGAAGGAAGUUUUGUCUUAGGAGAGAAAUGAGUAUGUGGAUUGGACGAAGCUACCCGACAACAUGUCAACUAAGUUGUCUUCGCAUCUCAAUUACCAUGAUAGGGCCAACUUGGCCUCUACUUGUAAAGGGUGGAGAGUCAUAAGUAAUUCUCUUAUCAUUUUGAAAUCAUUGGAUCUUAGAGCUCAUAACUACGAUUCAGCAAUGGCGAGUUCGCUUGCUUCUAGAUGUAGUGAUUUACAGAAGCUCCGAUUUCUAGGACAUGAUUUAGUUGAUUCUAUAAUUUUUGAAAUUGGCCUUAAGCAUUGCGAGAGAAUCACUAGUGGUUGUAUCAAAUAGCUUUCUGCUGUCAUAGGUUGACUAAGUUUCGGCUUUUAGGAAUUAUGGAUGUUGGAAGUGAUGCUAUUAAUUCUCUAGGGAAGUAUUGUCCCAUCUCACUGACCUAGGGUUGUUCGAUUGCUUGAGAGUUGAUGAAUUUUGGGAAAUAUGUCAUCUCUUAAGUUCCUCUCAGUUGCCGGCUCACAUGUGGAGUUUUGGGGUGUGGUUUUAGAUGUUUGGCAUAAGCUUCCCAAGUCAGCUAGGUUAGAUGUUCCUCGAACACAUCAUAUGUUGGUUCGGCAAUUGUUUCAACGUUGCUAUUAACACCCCAAAACAUCUAAAAUCACACUCCAAAACUCCACGUGUGCCGGCAACUGAGAGGAACUUAAGAGAUGGCACAUUCCCCAAAGCCAAUUCAUCAACUCUCAAGCAAUCAAACAACCCUAGGUCAGUGAGAUGUGGACAAUGCUUUGCUAGAGCAUUAAUAGCAUCACUUCCAACAUCCCUAAUUCCUGAAAGUCGAAGCUUAGUCAACCUAUAACAGCAAAAAACUAUAUGAUACAACUACUAGUGAUUUUCUCACAACGGUCAGGACCAAUUUCAAAAAGUAUGGAAUAAGCUAAAUCGUGUCCUAGAAAUUGGAGCUUCUGUAGAUCACUACAUCUAGAAGCAAGCAAACUAGCCAUUGCUGAAUCGCAGUUACGAGCUCUAAAAUCCAAUGAUUCCAGACAAUAGGAGAAUUACUUAUCGCUCUCCACCCCUUACAAGUAGAGGCCAAGUCGACCUUAUCAUGGUAAUUGAGACGUGAAAACAACUCAGUCAGCAUGUUGUCGGGCAUUUUUGUCCAAUCCACAUACUCAUUUCGCUCUAAAGACUAAACUUCCUCCUCAAGUUACUAUGCGCACCCACCUUCUUUUUCACCUUUUUGGACUUCCUCGGCGGUAGCCUACAACUCAUAUUUUCUUUAAUUCCCGUCUAUUGAGCUUCCGAUAGAGAAAAGGCUUCUCUGCAAUAUGGAAUUACCAUAAAAAUUUGACUAACACACAAAUCUUUGACCACGCAUUUUAAUUUUCUGAGUGAAAAAGAUAACAAAACAAACCAGCCUAAAACCCGCCUAAACCUAUGCUGCGCCCGACCUGCCAAGCUCUUACUCUCUAACGUCGUCAGCCUCCUUCGGCCAAUGGUGAGUGGAGUUCUCACCUUUGGUCCGACUAGACUCUGACUCUGGCGGCCCAAGUCUUUCACCAACAGCCAACUUCGCUUGUCCAUAAAAUCAAGUCGUUCCUCUCCGGUGACCAAAUCAUCAUGUUAAACACCAAACUCGGCCACCAUUAUAGCGUGCACACUGGCGACCGAGAAUGAAAUAAGGAAACAGAACUCAAACCCGAUUUCCUUAACCAAAAAUUUUAACAGUAAAUAUGCUCAUUAGUCAAUGGGAGUAACCCUUCAUGAAAACAAAAGUACUCAUAAGUGCUCAAAGUAGUCUAAGAUUGAAUGUACCAUACAUUGACUCGGCUUAGGCAUUUUAAGAAACAAAGGAUGGGCAUGGGCUGAGCGGAGAAAAUAGAUUCAUUCAGGGCACGAACUUAGUUUGAGACUCGCAAAGAAUGAACAAAUCAAGACUCGAAAUCAGCAGGACGACUAGUUUGCACUCAGCACAGGUAUGAGUGAAAGACAGCAACUCUCGACCCCGGUCGAGCGGAGACGGGCAAAACAGAGCAUGGCGAGCGCUUGAAAGUGGAAGUCACUAGCUGGCUAGGGCACAUCGGCUAGGAGGCGAGCCCGAAGAAGAGAAUCCGAGCUCUGGCCACUGCCUUCAUGUCUCUAAGCCAAUCCUUGAGGCGAGUUCGAAACCAAAAAAAAAAAGAAGAACUCACCGGUGAUAUGGACACCCAAGAAGCAAGGACGUCGGCCGGAGUUUUAUCAGAUAGCGAUGAUGGAGUCCAAGCGCGGCCAGCCAAGAAUGAGUGAGGCUCAGAGCAACGGACUGCUUUUUUGCUUCUGCCCCUCGCGCUCUCUCCCUCUCUCUCUCACACCAGCUUUUUUCUGUUACACCCCCUACAAAAGUACACCCGCGUAGCAUCAGACUUCAUUAAAUGUCGUGCUCCCCAUGAUUGUUUUUGUGGAACCAUGCAUCUGCACCGUCCAUUUCCACCAUCUGCGCCGGUGAAGGGAAAACAAAUUGUGGAGGUUUUAUGGGCUCGUGAGCCCGUUUAAUUUACGGAAAAUAAAUAAUCUUGAAUAUAUAUAUAUAUAUAUAUAUAUUUUAAAAUAAUCGUUUGUGUCACUUAUAGAAUGCAUGAGCGGAAAUUUUUUUCAUUGUUCAUCAAAAUAUUUAGAAUUAAAUUGUUGUUGAUACUGAAAUCAUCAUUUAUUGACUAUAGUUAUUUCAAACGAUAUAAGCGACUAUUUUUAAGAAAAUAUUUUCCAAAUCCUUCAUUUUAUACGAAAACAAAUGGAGCCCUAGGAUUAAGAUGCUCUCCCUUUAUACGGUACAGUGACAUUAUCCACCUUUCAAUGAACGACGCUUUACUAAAUAAAAUAAUUGAGAGUCCGGAUUUACAUAUAUCAUGAGGAAUUUUUUUUUUUUUUUUGAAGAACCCUCAAAUUUGAAAAAUUGUUUAUCUAUCAAUAUCAAAAUUUUGAGAAGUAUCAACCCCAGGCAAUGGUUGUUUUGGGAAUGAUGGUUUAAGAUUUUCUUUCUUUCGGGAAUGAGGUUUUUUUUUUUUUUAAUGUGGUUUGCGCAAUUCGAUUAAUCUUGUCCAUUCUGGAUCUCAAAAGAGAUUGAUGUAUCGUUUUAUUUAAAGAGUGUGCAUAAUUGAUGCUAAUGUGUUCCUAAAUGAUAAAAAAAAAAUGCCAAUCUAUUUUAGAUCUCAAAAUAUGAGUCUUAUUAACGACUAUUCAGGUGCAUUAUUAGUUAAGACCACUAAAAACAGAAAUAACAUAUAUCGACCAUCUUUCAAAAUCAAGCGCUAACACAUUUAGAAAAGUUACGUACUUCAAAUACAAAAGUCGAUGGUUCCCAUGCACAAUAAAUGGGACUUAAUAGAUGAAGUGACCCGGUGGGGAAUGUCUUGGGCCCUCUCAACGUCUUCGACGGCUUUACUUGGGAGGAGGUCAUAGAAAAGCGUCUUCUUCACUGGAGCCUAGUUAACUUGGUUUGAUGAUUUUGGUGGUGGCGAUGACCGGGCACUGCUGGACUCGAGAAAAUUGUUUGAUGGGAAAAAGUCGUGCAUUUUCUUGAUUUUCUCGUCGUAAUUGUUGGUGGGUCUUGAUGGAGGAAUUGGAAAUGGUGAUCUUGAUGCAAACAGUUUCCCCGCUGUUAAGGAACAACCCUGAAUGGAACGCAAAUCUUUGAUCCCCUUUAUUGCAACAGGCAACGAUGAGAAGAAAAUGUGAAUCCUAAUAAAUACGAUCUUCAUAUACGUUUGUUACUGCAAAUGCCCAGUGUUUAUGAGGACUCCCAUUCAUUAAGAAGAAAGCAGGCGAGCAAGUAAAUUAGAUGAAUUUGGACUUCUAGAAAACUAACCAAAACAAAGCAAUCAUGUCCCCAACUUGAAGUCGUAGGGUUCAAUCGUCCGAUAUUUGCUGGAUCCUAUUCAAGGAAGGUAAACCAUCUCCAUCCAAUUCAUUCCCUAAUUCUGAACGAUGUUAAUUUCCCACACAAAUAUGAGUCUUUCAUGGAAAUGUUUCUUUCUUUGGACUAUUUUCUUCAUAAUCACUCUACUUUUUAUCCUAGUAAUGAUUCGAAGAAGAGUUAUCUCAAACCAGUCAACUUCAACACAAAAGAACUUCAAUAUAGGCCUAGUCCCAAACUCAUAUGUCUUAUUAACUCGCCCUACAUCAUGCAUGAUGCCUCUCAUCAUGAAGAGUAGAAAUGUUUAAAAGAGAAAAGAAAAGGAAAUAAAUCCAAUCGCCUCCACAAAUCUUUCCCUCCUCCCCCAAAUCUGUAAAUCUCGAAAAGUUCAUAACAUUCCGGUUUCGUUUCGACCAAAAAGAUUUGCACGUGCAUGCAUGCAAUGUGCUUGGUCAGGUCCCUCCAUGAUGAAGCAACCAUUCUGAGCUUCCCCCCCCCCCCCCCUAAAUAAAAAGUUGGCUCAUGGUCCACCUUGAUUUGUCUCAUUAUGGACACAUCGCUCAAAUCCAUAAAGGAAUGGGCGGUCCCGUGACACUUGGCCAAGUGUACAUUCAAGCCACGGAAAUAUAGAGGUUGGUUCGCAUAAUUGUCGUCGCCGCCGCUGCCACCAUGGUUGCAAUCUGCGUCAUCGCGUAUCGUCACAUUGUGCAUGUGCCCUGCAUGUACGUUUUGCACGUCGGACAUAGGCCACAACGGAACGUGCUAUCCAAGGCUAUGUGGUCCCUGACCACCAGCUUCUCCGUCCUAAGGUCGAGCUAAUCGAUGACCUUUUUGGGGGUCGGGUGGUCGCGAGAAUCAGACCGAGGGAGCCGAUCUUCAUCCCGGAUCUCGACCGGCUUGUGUUUGACCUUGUGGGGAAUGCUUUGGGCCCUCUUCGCGUCUGCAACGGCUUUGCUGGGGAGGAAGUUACAGUAGCAAAAGGUGUUUGUCGCCGGAACUUGGUCUAUUUUGGCCAGAUGAUUCUGGUGUGAGGAUGAUCCGGCGCUGCUAGAUUCUGGAACAUCGUUUGUUGGGGAAGAGUUGUGCAUUUUUUCUUGAUUUCUUGCUGUGCUUAUUUCUUGGUGGGAGGGUUUCGAUGGACGAAGUGGAAAUGCUGAUCUUGAUGGAAACAAUUCCUCUGCAACAUGGAACGAGCAUGAACGGCGCAUAAGAAAGAAUGCGAACCUCUAUCACAUGCGUGAAAUAAAUGUCCCCCGAGACCCAUGUUCGCCCAGCCACGGGACCCAUCUUCUGCUCAGGUAACUUCAUGUCGCCUCGGAUAUGCUAUAAGUGAUUUUUGCAUGUCAAACUCCAAAGAACUGAGUCUUUUCUUUUCCAAAUGAGAAUUUGGCAUUAGUUCAAGAAAAAGAGAGAAUUUGGAGGGAAAUCUCUAGACAAUUUGUAGUAAAAUUGACCUAUGAGAAUUAGAAAAUAUAUCUUAAGGAAAUAUUAAGAGAAAUAUACAUAUUUUUCUAAAAUAUUAACUCAAUGAGAAUGAGAAAGUAAUAAAUAGUAAAAUUGAUUCAACGAUAAUGAGAAAGUGACUCUAGCUAAAAUUUCACAAAAAGUUGACUCUAACCCAUUGUGCAUCGUAGGUAAUGUGAUAUAUUUACAAACAUAGACAAACAAAAAAAAUCUAUUGAAUAAUAUGGGGAGAAAAGUUAAUUACCAUGGAGUCAAUUAAUAAUUACCAACAAAAAAUAAUCAGACGAUCGAGACGAAUUAAAUAAUCGAUUUUCGACAAAUUUAAUUUGUAAAAUAUGAAAUUGGUUAUGUUCGGUAAGUGUAAAGCCAUCAUUGCAGGUGAAAUUAUAAUAUUUUAUUAUCUUUUAAGUGAUAAGUAUUUUUUUUCAAUUUCAUCAUCAUCAUCAUCACUACUACUGUAACCCUUGUCGCGACCUCUUUUUUUUCGGCGCCCGCAAUCGGGGGCGAAUGCCUAAAGGAGGCUAAUGGCUCGGUUGAAUUUAUUAGGCCUAGACUCUCCCAAGUCCACCAAUUCAUGACUUAAUGGUCCAAGUUUUUUAACCUAUAAAUUAAUUUUAAAACGGAGUCGUCACUAAUCGAUUUGGGGUGGGUUGAUUAGAAACCCAAGCAAAGUAUCAGGAGAAAUACUCACUCCUGCGCAACCAGAGAAAUUAGGAUCGGGGACUUGAUUACACUAGUUAAUCACUAAUGCCCUUUCGGUACCUAAUCUUGUUUAAACCCUAAGGUUUUUUGGAUAUUUGAGGGAUUUUCCAUGCAUUUUGGGGAGAAAAAACAUUUUUGAGUCUUUUUAUCAUUUUUUGGACAUAAAAUGGAUUUUUUUUUUUUGGAUUUUUGGUAUUUUUGGGGCAAAUACAAGUCUUUUUGGCUUUUUCUUAAUUUUUUUUGGCUUUUUCAUGAAUUUUUGGCUUUUUUUGGAUUUUUGGCAUUUUUUUGAAAAUAUGGAAUAUUUUUGAUUUUUUUGAUUUUUCGGAAAAUAAAAUAUUUUUCAAUAUUUUUUGUUUUUUGGAAAUUAAAUUAUUUUAAAUAUUUUUGGAAAAUAAAUUAUAUUUUUUAUUUUUUUUGGAAAAUAAAUUAUUUAUCUAUUAUUUAUUUAUUUAAAAUAUUAUUUAAAAUAAAUUUAAAAAAAGGGCCAACCCUGGUUGGAUCUGCGGGUUGGGUUCGACCCGGGCGGCGACCCGAACGCGGGCCCGACUCGGAUUUUUUAUUUAUUUUUUGUUUUUUUUAUUUAAACAGCGUUGUGGCCGAGCAUUUGGAGGCGCUCGGCCCGGCCCGAUGACCCGCUCCCCCAGCGAAACCCUACCUGACCUGGCUCCGGCACCCGACCCGUCCUCCAGCCGCCCCCAGAUCUCGAACCCUACCCGAUUUUCCAGGUCCGGAUCUGCUUCACGACCCGGAAAAUCGCAAACCCUAGGGUUUACGAAUCCGCGGCGCCGAGGACGGAGACCAAAGUGUUAUGGCGGCGACGGCAGCUACGGCGGCGACAGCAACGACGACGGUGACUACGACGACAGCGACAGCGAUGGAAAGCGUUUACGAUGAAUGGCAAGGACGUCGGUGACGGGCCUAAAUUUACCUUUUCUUGAAUGGAGACAAUGACGGCGAUGACGGGGGUUGCUUUUCGACGGCGGAGGCCACAACGAGCAACGACGAAGCCAGAGGGCUCUAUCUGCGACGGUGAAGACCACGGCGAACAACAACGGUGACGGCGAGAACCUAGACUCAGCCGAAACCCAACCGGAACGCCCUCUCUCCGCGUCGGUGUGCUUCGUUUUAGCCCCCCCGCACUCGGAUCUCCCCCCUCACACUCAUAUCCACCUCGAACGACUCCGGCCGACCUCACAUCUCGGCCUGCUCGUCCUCGGCCCCCUUUAUGAAGUCUCUCAGUUGGGAGGUUUCGAGGAUUUGCAGCCCUCGACCUUCGCCGCCUCUCUCUCUCUACCCUCGACUUCUUCUGUGUGCUCUGGCUACUGGGAUCGACGGCCUAUUUACAGGCCGAGGGGCGGCCGGUCGACGGAGUUCGACCGUUGGUCGCCACGGCCUUCGCCAGCCGAAUCGGCGUCCCAUCCGACGCCAGCUACCCCUUGCUCCACGUGCCAUCGCCGUCUGUCCACCCCCUUCCGGCGUCGCGCCCCCCUGCGCGUGCUGCAGAGGCGCAAGGAAGGAGAAGAUCUUAUGGGGCCGGGCUGAGGCGGAAAUGGGCCUUUAGGGCCCAUGCGAGGGCUGCUUCUGCUUUUUUUUUUUGUUUUUUUUUUGUUAUUUGUUUAUUUAUUAUCCGAAAAAGAUUAAAUAAAAUAAAGUAAAACCUAAUUAAUUAAAAGGAAAAUUUAGGCGUCAACAACCCUAAAAAAGAAAAAAAAAACUAUUUUCAUAUAAGUGGAAAUUAUAAGUAAAGCCAAAUUGGUUAUGUUCGGUUCCGUUCCUUUCCUUUGUGUCUCUCGCGGUCUCUCUCCCUCUCUAUCCGUGGGAUCUGCCUUCGGGUUUAUUUGUUGGUCGAUAUUGAGAAGAUGGCUUCGAAGCGGAUCCGGACAUUUCAUGUUUGUGCUUGUCAUCUUAUGUAUUUGUCAUAUCCUCGAUUACUUCUCAUCCUUAUACUGGCCUUCCUCCAACUUUUUGUUUGUACAAAGUUAAAUGCGUGCGUAGCUUUAAAAUGACAUCGAUUGUUGAUAUAGCUGCGCAUUAACUUCGUUGGCAGCUUGCGCCUCCCUUUUAGGCAUUUAACGCCUGUAUGUUUGUGUCAUGCCCUCAUCUGUCAAUUCUUAUACUUCUUUACUUUUCCUGGAGUGCUUGUCUAACAAAAAGUAUUGACUUUGCCGAAGUUCUUGAACCCGCCUCUGUCCGAUUGAAGUUUCCUUUUCAGGGAAGAGCUUCAACUCAAGAUGUUUUUUGGUUUUGGCCUGGACCGGGGAAAUCUGUAUUGAGUCCAGCGGCAGUUCUGAAGUUUUUCAUAUGUUUAAAAGUCCCGUCUUGCCUUUGUUAGAGAGUAUAGCCCAACGUGGAGUAGUUCUGUCAAAAUCGAUGAAAACUUGCGAAAUGAUCUUGAACCGUGUGGAUCAUGAUGUUCUAGGCUUUCUCAGAAAUAGCUCGGGGUGACUGUUGCGUUCUCAUUUCGCAAGAGGAAAUGCCUGCCUUUUGGUUUGUCCAUAUAUGCGUAUCUUUUACCAUUUUUACGUAGCUGGAUAUGAUGUAGUAAGAGCUUAUACAUGCCGGGUUUAAGGCUUUCAAACGAUAAAAUUUGCGCGGGCGGAAUACAGACACAGAAAAAAUUGCUGUGUUACAGAAGGCUUGACUUGAUCCUUUUCCCUACAUGGGCCCAGUACGCUAACAAGAUAAGUGUCGGUGAAUUUGUGGAUUCAACGAUGCAAAGGAAGAAGAUGAAGAAUGAUGAUGGAGAUAAAGGAUAAACUCAAUAAUGCUGAAAAGGGAUCUUGAACAAGAAGAGUUCGUAUCUCAUUCUAUUGUAUUCAAGUUCUUUGUACAAAGUGAAAUGAAAGAAUACAAUUGAUCAAUAUUCGAGCUUCUUUGCUCUCUCCUCUCUAUCUCUCUUCUUCACCAUCAUAAUUCUCUCGAGCUCAGUUCUCUCAUUAUAUACUAAUGGAAGCACCAAACUAAUAACCAACUAAAACCGAACUAACUGACUCCAAAAACUAACAAACAGACUUUUACAACUCAGUAUAACAGAGUAGCAAGUUCAGAUACUUGGCAAUCCUCGUCAAUCCAUAUCUUCGGCAUUCGAUUAAUCUCCACCGUUAAUAGAACUGGUUAUCCACGUCUUCGGCUUAUUCUCUUCACGAUUGACUUCUGAUGAUCUCUGUCUAUCACUUGUUGAGGAUCCCCUGUGUCUACCUUUUGAUGUAGUAGAGUAAGACCAUUCAUCUUGAUGUAGUAUACUGAGCUGACAAUGUUGACAACCUUGAUCCUCUGUUAUGGACGGUCUUGAUCCUCUAACAUUCCCCCUCAAAUUGGGAAGGGUAAAUGAUCCCAUUCCCAAUUUGAUUCGGAGAUUAAGAUGAGACGAUCGUGAUAGUGACUUAGUGAAUAUAUCAGCUAAUUGAAGAUGAGUAGAAAUAUACUGUACACGAAUGGAACCAGAGGAGACUUUCUCUCGGACAAAGUGAAAAUCAACUUCAAUAUGCUUGGUUCGAGCGUGUAAUAUUGGAUUAGCUGUGAGAGAAAUUGCUGAUCUAUUGUCACAGUAUAUGAAUGUAGGAGACUGAAGAGAAAUGCCAAUAUCUCGUAACACAAAUGUUAUCCAAGUAAGUUCAGCAGUUGUGGAAGCAAGUGCACGAUACUCUGCUUCGGUUGAUGAUCUGGAAACAGUAGGUUGUUUCUUGGCAGACCAAGAGAGUAGAUUAGAACCAAGGAAUGUGCAAAAUCCUGUUAUGGAACGUCGUGUAGUGGGACAACCAGCCCAGUCAGCAUCAGAGAAUCCAUAGAUGUUUAUUGAACUUUGAGCAUGAAGAUAGAUUCCAAGAUGCAUAGUACCUUUGACAUAUCGAAGAACUCUUUUUAGUUGAUGAAAAUCUUCUUCAGUAGGCUGUUGCAUCUUUUGACAGAGAAGAUUAGUAGCAAAAGCCAGGUCUGGUCGAGUAAUAGUUAAGUAUUGAAGAGCACCAACCAAGCUUCUGUACUCUAUAGGAUCUGUGAGCUGUUUUGCAGUACCAGCUAUGGAAAUUGAUCGAAGAGGUAAGGGCGUUGAGAUUGGUUUACAAUCGGCCAUAUGAGCUCGUUUCAGCAAGUUAGUGGCAUAUUUUGUUUGACACAAAAAGAGAUUCUGUGAUGUUCGUUUGGCCUCAAUGCCCAAAAAAUAGUGAAUAUACCCAAGGUCCUUCAUAUGAAAAUGGAGACUAAGUUUCUGAAUGAGGGUAGUUAGGAGAUGUGGUGAACUACCAGUCAAGAUGAUAUCAUCAACAUAUAGAAGCAACAGAACUGUAUGUAAGUCUGUAUGAAGAACAAAUAAUGAUGGAUCUGCUGUGCUACAGAAGAAACCACUUUCGAGUAAGAAUUUGCUGAAUUUAUCGAACCAAGCUCUUGGUGCUUGUCGAAGACCAUAUAGGGACUUGUGAAGUAGACAUAUAUGACUUGGCUUUUGAUGAUUAAUAAAGCCAGGUGGCUGUUCCAUGUAUACAGUCUCGUUCAAAUCUCCAUGAAGAAAAGCAUUCUUGACAUCAAGUUGGUGUAUUGGCCAGUGCUUUAUCAUGGCAAGAGAUAGCACUAUUCGAAUUGUUGUGUGUUUCACAACUAGACUGAAAGUCUCAGUGAAGUCAAGUCCUUCUUCUUGGUGAAAGCCUUUGGCAACUAGACGAGCUUUAAGUCUAUCAAGACCUCCAUCUGGUGUGAGUUUGGUCUUAUAUACCCACUUACAGCCAAUUACAUUCAUCUGGUCAGUUCUUGGAAUCAAUGUCCAUGUUUGGUUUUCAUCAAGAGCAUCCAUUUCUUCUUUCAUAGCCCUGUACCAUGCUUCAUUAGCUAAGGCUGAUUUGACAGACCAUGGUUCCAUAGGAACUUGAUAGACAGCUGAAUAAGCAUACUUUGGAUUUGGUUUUCGAAUCCCAGACUUUAGUCGGGUCUGCAUAUGAUGAUUAUUAGCAGUAACUUGAGACGAAGACAUAAUGGAAUUGGAAGUGCAGUUCCCUUCAUCAGAGUUGCUUUCAGCUGGAAGAUCAUUAUGUGAGGAUGAAGAACUGGUAGUAUGUUGUUCCCGAGAAGUGGACAGAUCUGUAGGCACAGUUUCUAUUGAAAUCCUGUCAGAUUGUUCAUCUGUUAUUUCCUCAUUCUGCAUAGUUCUUGAGGAAAUGGUCUGAGAUUGUUGUCUGUGACACAGAGGAGAAUUAUAACAAUCAUGUAGAUCAGGAUGAAUCUGAUCUUUAACUGACUGAUGUAAGGAACCAUUAUAUGUUGACUUGGUUCUUGAGGGUUCAAGAAUUUGUAUUCCUUCAAUCCACUGUUUGUACAGGUUUGUAUACUGUCCAUACCCAUUGGCGAGCUUCUUUAUAAAUGGAUAAGAAUGCUCAUCAAAGACAACAUGCCUACUGAUGUACACACGAUUAUUGGUUGGAACCAGACAUCGAUACCCUUUGUGCUGGUUGCUAUAACCCAAAAAGAUACAAGGAAGAGAUCAAGGAUCAAGUUUAUGACUUGCAUAUGGUCUCAGGCACGGAUAGCAUGCACAGCCAAAUACCCUCAAAUGAUCAUACCUUGGCUGUCUAUUAUGGAGUUUGUUAUAAGGUGUGUCCAUCUUCAAUUUUGGUGUGGGAAGUAUGUUUUUCAAUUUUGGUGUGGGAAGUAUGUUUAUGAUGUAAUUAGCUGUCACAAAUGCAUCUACCCAAAAUGUUAGUGGAACUUUUGAGUGAUAUAGCAUAGCUAAUCCCAGUUCAACAAUAUGUCGAUGCUUCCGUUCAGAGACCCCAUUCUGUUCUGGUGUAUGAGGACAUGAUAUAAGCUGUCUAAUUCCAUGAUGUCUCAGACAACUUUGGAAUUUGUUGCUUACGAACUCUCCUCCUCCAUCACUCUGGAAGAUUGUAAUCUGGUGAUUAUACUGUCUUUCAACUAACUUCUGGAAUUGAACAAAUAUGUCAUAAAAGUCAGACUUGAACUUCAUAGGAUAUAGCCAGCCAUAUCGAGAGAAACUGUCAACAAAAAUCACAUAGUAUCUAAACUUUUGAAAAGAACUUACUGGUGAUGGUCCCCAAAUGUCACAAUGAAUCCUUUCUAAUGGAAAACUUGAUAUAGAAUCCGAUAAAGGAAACGAUAGAGCUGUACUUUUAGCUAUUUGACAGCUGCUGCAAACAGUCUUAGAUGAUGAAACAAAUUUUAUAAGCUUCUGUUGUUGCAAAUGCUUAACUAUCUGAGCAUUUGUGUGAGCCAAACGCUGGUGCCAUGUGUCUUCAUCGACUAUCUUUUGCUGCUGAGUAAAGAAGGCCUCUGCAGUUUGUGAAUUAGCUUGAUAAAGCCCUCUGGUUUUCCUUCCGAGCUUCACCAUUGUGUUGGUAAUGUUGUCCUUUACAUAAACACCAGUUUUAUCAAAGAUAAAGGAACAAGGGUAGUCGUCUGUGAGUUUAGAUACUGAAAGAAGAUUCUUCUUUAUCUCUGGGACAAUUAGGACAUUAUUAAGAGGUAAUGUACUAUUCUUUGUUUUCAGCCAAGUGUUGCCAAUGUGAGUUACAGGUAAGCAUGAUCCAUUGCCUACCAUAACAGUAUCAUUUCCUUGAUAUUUAGAAAGAGUAUGGAGCAUACCAGGAUUGGCACUGAUGUGAGCUGUAGCUCCAGAGUCAGGAUACCACUCACUUCCUGUUGAGUCCUCAAUAUGUAUUGCUGUUAAAGCUGCUGGAAUAUCCUCUGCUUGAUAAGAAUUGUCAAACCGAUACCAGCAGUGAAGAGCAUCAUGUCCAGAUCUUUUACAUAUUUGACAUUCUAUUCGAGUACUACUUGUUUCUUUUUCCUGCAAGUUCUUACUCGAGUUCACAGAUGGAUAAGUAUUGACAUUUUGAUAUCUUUGUGAGUAAGUGGUGUAGGGUCUAAACCUUUGAUUUGUUGUAGGGAUAACAUUUUUCUGACUGGGAUGUUGAUUUCCUUGUCCUGAAUUUGAGAUAUCUGUUCUGUAAUUCUGAUAUCUUUCAGAGCCACGACCUCUAUUGUUUCCAGUUCUGCCAUAGACACCAGCUCUGCCACGACCAUAGCUUCGACCACCUCUGUAACCUCCUCUCUGAGAUAUAAAUCCAGAAGCCUGAGAGAUGUUGUCUUCAUCUGUGAUAUCUUUAGACUGUUCCUGAAACUGUCUUUGUCCAAAGUAGGCCAAAUUCGGAUUGAACUGAUUUCGGGAAAGGGUCUUGAGUCUUGAUUCAAACCUUUCCAAUUGAGCAAUUACCUCAUCAUACUCAGGCUGAGGCUUUAAACAAUAUAUGGUAGUUCGAAAGUUUUCAUACUCAGGCCCUAAACCUUCCAAUACACCAAACAUUUUGGUUAUUUCAUCCACCGGUUUGCCUAUUGCAUUCAACUGAUCACAUAUGGAUUUAUGUUCUCUGAGAUAAACAGCAAGGGUUUGUUCAUGUUUUUGGCAUGAUUGAAGUUUCCCCCUUAGUUCGAACUCUCUAGCAAUUGACUUCUGUGUGAAUCUUUUCAGAAGAGUUUGCCAUACUUCAGAUGAUGUUUCUAAUCCAAUUAUCAGGCUCAGGAUGUUUUCAGUAACAGCUCCAGAGAUCCAUGAUGAAAUCAACUGAUCUGUUCUAGUCCAAUCAGUAUAAUCUGGAUUGAUAAGAUUUGUUUCGCAACCUUCAUCCUCUAUUUGUAUUAUUCGAGGAGGUGAAGUGAUAUCUCCAUUAACAAAACCAAACAGAUCCUGGCUUUUCAAAAACCUUUGGAUUUGAGCUUGCCACAAUAGGAAGUUGUCCUCGGCAAGCUUGAUUGUGACAAAGUUUGUGAUAUUCACAUGUAUCGGGAAAGGGUACUUUGGAGUUCUUAUUGCCAUUACUACGAAACUUUAGCUUGACAAAGAUGACACCAGUAAUGCUAUGAGUUCUUUCGUGCUUACCUUGAUCCAGAGAUCUUCAUUGUUCGAUCAUCUCUUCUGACUUGAUGCACGAACUGAUUACUGGACAGAUUUCUUCAUUCUGAUGCUUGAGACACUCCUGCUCUGAUACCAUGUAAAUUUGUGGAUUCAACGAUGCAAAGGAAGAAGAUGAAGAAUGAUGAUGGAGAUAAAGGAUAAACUCAAUAAUGCUGAAAAGGGAUCUUGAACAAGAAGAGUUCGUAUCUCAUUCUAUUGUAUUCAAGUUCUUUGUACAAAGUGAAAUGAAAGAAUACAAUUGAUCAAUAUUCGAGCUUCUCUGCUCUCUCCUCUCUAUCUCUCUUCUUCACCAUCAUAAUUCUCUCAAGCUCAGUUCUCUCAUUAUAUACUAAUGGAAGCACCAAACUAAUAACCAACUAAAACCGAACUAACUGACUCCAAAAACUAACAAACAGACUUUUACAACUCAGUAUAACAGAGUAGCAAGUUCAGAUACUUGGCAAUCCUCGUCAAUCCAUAUCUUGGGCAUUCGAUUAAUCUCCACCGUUAAUAGAACUGGUUAUCCACGUCUUUGGCUUAUUCUCUUCACGAUUGACUUCUGAUGAUCUCUGUCUAUCACUUGUUGAGGAUCCCCUGUGUCUACCUUUUGAUGUAGUAGAGUAAGACCAUUCAUCUUGAUGUAGUAUACUGAGCUGACAAUGUUGACAACCUUGAUCCUCUGUUAUGGACGGUCUUGAUCCUCUAACAGGCUGAUGGCACCAACGUAUAACGAAAACUCCCCGGUCCACGCAGCAUUCUAAACCCGAGUCCAUUUUUCCUCGUGUUCCUCUAGGAAGUAACGAACCAUCUUCUGCUGUGCCCAAAUUUUUUGGAUCCGAAACAUUGACUUCGGCUUCAAGAAUGCCGACGCAAAUAUCAUUUAUCAAAGCCAAAAACUAAUUGAGAACACCCCCCCCCCCCACGUCAAACGCCCACGUUUUAUUUGGGAUCCUAAAUUAUCAAUGAAAUGGAAAAUAAUCAAUAAAGCAUAAAACAUUGGAUUGUGACUUGUCAUAAAUAUGUUCUUUAAUUUCUUGACAGUUGGCAUGCUGAAAGAUGUAUACAAAAUUAUAGCUUCCAAAGGCUACGACGACCAAAGGAAGAGAAUGCAUGGUCACUUCUCAGUUAACAAAAAAAUUAUAGAUCGGUGGACUCACUCUUUAUAUUAGUAUGUAUACAGAUUCAAACCCUCCUAGCCAAACCCCAGAAAAGGGCAGCAAAACAAAACAAAACAGCAGUCCUCAUGCAAACACAUUCAAAAUGUGCAAACACAAGGAAACAAAGAUUGACAUCGAACCCCCGCAGCAAAAGGGAAAAGGAAAUUGCAAAUCAAUCGAACACUAAUCCCAAGCAACCCCAUCCAAAAUUGAUCUCGGAAAAUUUAAAGAGGACCUACUAUCGUCUUCGUAAAAAAUUAUUUGGACAUGUAAACUAUACAGUAAUGUGUUUGGAAGUUAUUUUGAAAUCAACUUACUUGUUCUAUGUCAUCCAAAAUCAGCACACAACUUUCUUGGCCCGGCACCACAUCAAGAGGUUUUUGGUGUCUUUGUGUUCCAUAUCUCCAGAACCGAGUUAUUCUCUGAUCGGGUCAAGAAGCUUAGCCAUUUCCUGGGCGUAUGAUAGAUCGCCCAUUGUGCGAUGUACAUCCCAAACAUCUCACUAGAAGAAAGGACCUCACAAAGGGUCUCAACUUUUGGUCAUUGUCUGCAUAUGCUCCAACACAAAGAGGCUGUCUUUAAAGACUUCAGCUCGUUCCAUGAUGAUUAAGUCCGAUAGAUGCAGCAAACAAGACUCAGAAAUGGGCUUCUUACAUAAACAAGAAAAUAAGCCACAGGAAUGACAAUCUUGGCGGCUCGGUGAGGCUUGAGCCUCGAGGCCUCCGCCUCGCUAGAUCCGGCGAGCUCAAGGCUCGCCUGGCUGGUUGCCAGCCAUCACCGUGCCGACUAUCGGAAGGAGGAGGAAGAAAGAAAAAUAAAGGAAAGAAAAAUAAAAAAUAAAAGAAAAUUUAAAAAUAAUUCUAAUUUCGAUUAAAAAAAAUAUUUUUGUAAAGUUAAAGAGGGAAGAGAGAGAUUGUGAGAUUUUAGUUAAAAAUGGGUUCUAAAUCCAACCUAUUUAAAACCCACUUAAGACCUACUUAUCUUAAGUCUUUGAUUGUUAAACCCAUUUAACUAUUUUUUUUCUCAAAAACUAAGUGACCCAUUUAUGAUUUAAAUGGGUCAUAUAUGGGUCUAAGACCCAUUUUGCCACCUCUACUUGCGGUGAAUGUUGCGUGUGGCCUCUUCAAGAAACCUUUAUCUAAAAGAUCAGUUGGAGGGAAAGUUUCUGGUUUAACAGCUUUGGGCCUAAAGGGAGGUUGAGUCCUCUCGAGUUCUUCUAUUUUUAAGGGGCGCCUCUGGAAUAUGGCUACGAUAAAAUCAAAUCAACUAUUUAAGGUUUGAUUUUCCAAUAAUAAAAAAGAGCUAUGUCAAGGUUGGCCCAAAUGAAACUGCUCCAUAUAAUGGUGAUAUGAAGAUGAUCACAUUACAUCGACCGAGAUAUAUUGAUCCAGUGACAAUGUUACGAUGAUGGUCCCAACAUAUAAAUGGAUCAUUGCUCACAUGAAAUUCCAACUAAAAAUCCUAUAAUUUUCGUCAAUAGUGCUAGAAUCACCAAUUGUUUUCCCUUGUUCACUUGAGAAUGAUUGAAAAAGUCAACUCAGUCACUAAUACCAAGUCAAAACUUGCAAACUAAUAGGCUUACUUAAUAAACCAUACACAUUAAGAACACAUAUUGCAGAUAAUUGAGAAAAUUAUUUUUAGAAAUUGUGAAUUGAUUUGAGAGAGGGAGAGAGGCGACUAGAGUCAUGGUAAAUGGCUGGAUGUUGAGUGGCUAAAAUGCUUGGUUGGAUUUAGCAUUUUGUUUAAUAUGGCAGUUAGGGCUUCAAAUGUGCAUUAUGGAAUUGGAUAAUUAUACUCAUUAGAUCUUGAAAGAGAUAAUGCGCAUCUAUUUAAGGAGAGCAAACUAAGUCUAUCCCCUACUUGUAAAGGAUGUCAAUCCCUGACUCAAAUGUAAAUCUUAAAUUGAAACCUUGCUUUUUUUUAACUUCUCUCUUUAGAAUUGCUCUACUUUUUACCCUAGUGAUGAUUCAAAGCAAAGUUAUUUCAAACCAAUCAACUUCAAUACAAAAGAACUUCAACAAAGACGUUGUGCCAAACUCAUGUGUCACAUUAACUUGCCCUAUCCCAUGCAUGAUGCUGCUCAUCAUCCAGAACUGUUUAAAAGAGAAAAGAAAAGGAAAGAAAUGCUAUCGUCUCCAUAAAUCUUUCUCCCUGAAUCUGUAAAUCUCAAAAAGUUCACGAGUUUCUGGUUUCUUUUCGUUUAAAGGUUAGUUAUACUUGACAUAAGUAAAUACUUUGACGCUUUUAAAAGUUAGUCGUUUUUAUAAUUAAAAAAGAAGAAGAAGAAGCUUUUAUGGCCUCAUCUUGCUAAAGCCUCUAAUUAACCAUCAACGCCAGCAGCAACCGCCGUAUGGCCAUGGCUGAUAUACUCCCUCUCUCUCUCUCUCUCUCUCUCUCUCUCUCUCUCUCUCUCUCUCUCUCUCUCUCUCUCUCUAAGAUGGCAUAACCAGGGGGGACUACCAAUGCAGAAGCUACCUACUCGUAAAAGGCAAGGAAAAGAAAGAAAGACGAAAGAAUCUUCAUGAACAUUGAACUCGUAUAUGUCACAUUAACCUGCCCUAUGCUAUCAUCUAGAACAGAAGUGUUUAAAAGAGAAAAGGAAAGAAAUCCAGUCAUCUCCACAAAUCUUUCCCCCGAAUCUGUCAAUCUAAAAAAGUUCAUAACAUUCUAGUUUCUUUUCGACCACAAGAUUUGCAGAUACAUGCAUGCAGUGUGCUUGAUUAGGUCCCGACGCUCACAAUCUCCAUAACGAAGCAUCCUCUCUGAGUGUCCCACCUGAAAAAAAUGAUAUCACCCACCUUGAUUUGUCUCACCAAGAGCACAUCGCUCAAAUUCAGAAAGUAAUGGCCAGUCCUUUGACACUUGGCGAAGUAUACAUUCAAGCCGCGGAAAUACAGAGGCCCAUUCACACCAUUGUUGUCGCCAUCGCUGCCACCAUGAUUGCGAUCCGUGUCGUCGCGGAUCGUCACGUAGUGCUUGUGGCCUGCCUGUAUGUUUUGCACGACGGACGUAGGCCAAUGACGGAACAUGUUAUCCAAGGCUAUGUUGUCCCUAACUGGCAGCUUCUUCGUCUCAAGAACGAACUCAUCAACGACGUUAUAGAGGGUCGUGUGGUCGUGAGAGUCAGACUGGGGGAGCGGAUCUUCAUCCUGGAUGUCGACUGGCUCGCGUUCAACCUCGUGGGGAAUGUUUUGGGCCCUCUCCGCAUCUUCAGCCGGAGCUUGGUUAUUUUGGUCUGAUGAUUCUGGCGGGGAGAAUGAUCCUGCGCUGCUGGAUGCGCUGCUGGACUGGGGAACAUCGUCUGUUGUGGAAGAGCCGUUCAUUUUCUUGAAUUUCUUGAUGCGGUUAUUCGUCGGCGGGAGGGUUUCGAUGGAGGAAUUGGAAAUGCUGAUCUCGAUGGAAACAGUUUCUCUGCAAUAUGGAACCACCGUGAAAAUCUGAGUAGCGCACAAAUUUUUUACCCCGCAUCUUGAUUUGCUGAGUGAAAAGAUAAACGGAACGAAACGAGAUAAAUGUGAACCCUAAGAAGCUUUCAAUGGGCACCUUUUUCUGGAUCACCUACGACAAGUUUUUUCGAAGGAGAUUAUCUUUAUGCACACAUCAAGAAGUGUUGGUGUAGAACAUUGUCCAUCUAUCAGGAAGCAACCAUGCAACGAGCUUGCAAUUCGAGAAAGCUAACCAGACCAAGAAAUCUCGAACAAUGUGGCCCAGUAAAUCGAAGAACUUCAACGCGGGCUUCUGCUCUUCGCUGGGGACUAGGAACGGAGGAUUGAACUUCGAUGGAUGGCCCCGUUCGUUCAGCGGUCGAAAUGCACGAGAAUGCUCCGACGGCUGAAGAGAAGAUGGACUGAGGAGAUGGUUCAGUUGUGAUGGACUUUUGAAUAACGUAGGCUCUUCGAGAAAUCUUAACGAAAGAAGUUGAGGGUGAGUUUUUCUGGUCUAACCGACUCUGUGGCCCCAAAAUGGAGAUCAAGUCCUCCGGAGGCUUUUAAAAGGUGAUCGUCAAUUAAUUUACCGUAAAUCACAUAUAAAGAGGAAAGUGCAUAUAUAUCUCGUAAAUUUCAAUUUCUAAAAUGAAAAUAAAAUCCCUUGUUUGGAGAAAGUAUACUUUUCACUAGUAAAAAUACCAUAUAUUCUAUGGUAUAUUGCUUUUGUCGGGAGUAAAGUACGGCUGUUCAUCAUGAUAAAUUUUUACUUGUUCACAAUAAAUCUUUUAACUUUAUCAAUAUAACUUCAAACUAAGAAGUUUGCCGACAAUCGUCGUGGUUAACGGGUGUGAAUUCGGGGAAAAUUUUAUUUCUUCAAAGUAAAUCUUUUUCUAUGAAAUAAUAUCAUAUUUCAAGCAAAACAUUUUACGUGGUAAGUUAAACUCACUACAAGAAACAUUGAAAUAUUGUUUAACAAAAUUGAAAGAGAGAAGAGGGAGGAGGGAGAGGUGGCUUUUGGUGUUUGCGGGAAUUCCCCAACCACCGUUGUCAAUGGCGCCCGUUACAUUUGUUAAGGCGAGGGUCGAGCAACAAUUAGCCAUGACCUUGGUGGCAUAUGAAUGUUCUAUGACUCUUGACCUAAGAAAUAUGAUUUUAGAGAAGGAUUAAUAUUCUCUCCAUUUGUGCGGUAAAUUAACAUAUUAAAAUUUUCACCCCCUUAAAUUAAUGAUACAUUAGCAAAUAAAAUAAUGGAGGGUUCCGGUUUACACAGAUUAUGGGGACAAUCUUUUAACCUCAAAUACCCUCAAAUUUGCAAAAGAAAAAAAAAAUUGUUGGUCAAUCCUUUAAGAAGUAGCGACUAUAGCAAUGGUUGUUUUGGGAACGAGGGUUUAAGAUUUUGUUUGUUUUGGGAAUGAUUUUUUCUUUUAAUGUGGCUUGUUUGAUUCAUUGAUCAUGACUAUUUAAAUCAUAAAAGAGGUUGGUGUAUAAUUUCAUUUAAAGAGGGUACAUAGAUGAUGCUAAUCUAUCCCUAAAUGGGAAAACAAAGAAGUCAAUUUACUCUAAAAUCUAAAGAUGAAUCUUGUUAAUAGACUGCUCAGGGGCAUUAGCUAAGACCUUAAAAAAUAGGGAUAACAUAUAUGAACGCACUUUCAAAAUUAAGCGUGACACUUAUAGAAAACAUACCUUCUUCAAAUAGAAAUGAUGAUUGUUCCAAAAACAAUAAAUGAGACAUAUUAAAUGCCUCGAAGACACUCUUUUAACAUUUUCCUAUAACAUUUUACCUUCAAUGCUCUCUUGAAUACUCAAUCCAUGAUUUGAUUGUUUUCUUCAGUACUUUUACCAAACCAGUCAACUUCAAUAUACAAAUUAACAAAAUGUGAAUUGCACAAAGAGACGAUGUGGAAUGGAGGUGACUUGAAAUUACGUGCACAAAAGUUGUAUGGAUUACAGGUCUAAUGCUAGUCGGGCGAAUAUGGGUCUCGUGGCAUAAUUAUGUCAUGUGGCGAUAUAUAGGCGAAAUUAAGUGUAAUUGGAGGAUGUAUACAUAUAUGGGUUUGAAUCGUUGGGAUAAUUAACCGUGGAAUUUCUUGGGUGAUAAUUUUGUUUGAGAUAGAUAUCAAGGUCGGCUACCUCUGCGAGCUCUUAAGCAACAAAAGAAAUCGCACCAAAAAAAAAAAAAAAAACAGAAGAAGAAGAGGAGAGAAAAGGCAUUUUGCUGAUCGUUUUAUUAUCUAUUAUAGCGGUCUUUAUCUAGAAAAGAAUUUGACCACAUAAAAGAAAGAUAAGAGCAUAGGUUUGACGUUUUUUCUUUAUGAUCGUACAAAAGGGAUUCACCUUUUGCCCCACAGUAGCCUUCGUCCUUUAAGCUGCCGGAAAAAUGUAGGGUUCGCACUAUCGUUGAUUUUUCGGGAUCUGUUUCACUUAACAAAGAAGAGCCACAAUCGGUGUUGCUCACUUUCAAGCUUGUUCAAUAUUGGAGAAAUUGUUUUCAUCGAGAUCAGCAUUUCAAAGAAAUCGCAUAUUGAUUUGAGAGAGAGACACCACUGGAGUGGUGGCAAAUGACCGGAGGCCGAGUGGCUGAGUGGCUAAAGGGCUUGGUUGGAUUUAGCGUUUUGUCGAUAUGGAAUUGAGGUUUUGAAUGUGGAUUAUGAAAUUGGAUAACUAUACUUAAAAGAGAUCAUGCGCAUCUACUCAAGAGGGUAAAUUUUAUCCACUCAAUUCAUCCUCUAAUUAUAAAGGAUGUCAAUCACCGAUACAAAUAUAAAUUUUACUUUAAAACAUUUCUUUCUUUGGAUUAUUUUCUUCAGAAUCGCUCUGCUUUUGUCCCAGUAAUGAUUCAAAAUGGAGUUAUUUCAAACCGGUCAAUUUUAACACUAAAGAAAUUCAACACCGGCUUCGUACCAAACUCGUAUGUCACAUUAACUUGCCCCAUGCGAUGGAUGAUGCUACUCAUCAAGAAUAGAAGUGUUUGAAAAAAAAAGAAAAGGAAAGAAAUCCUAUCGUCUCCAUAAAUCCGUCUCCUAAAUCUGUAAUUCUCAAAAAGUUCAUAAUAUUAUGGUUUCGUUUUGACCAGAAAGAUUUGCACUUGCAUGCAUGCAAUGUGCUUGGCUAGUUCCCGACGCUCACAACCUCCAUAGCGAAGCAUCCUUUCUGAAUGUCCCACUUGAAUAGAAUGAUAUCUCCCACAUUGGUUUGUCUCGCCAGGAACACAUCGCUCAUAUUCAGAAAAUAAUGGCCGGUCCUAUGACACUUGGCGAAGUAUACAUUCAAGCCGCGGAAAUACAGAGGCUGAUUCGCACAAUUGUCACUGUCGCCGCCACCGCUGCCAUGAUUGCAAUCUGUGUCAUCACGUAUCGUCACGUAAUGCCUGUGGCCUGCCUGUAUGUUUUGCACGACGGACAUAGGCCAGUGACGGAACAUGCUAUCCAAGGCUACAUGGUCCCUGACUGGUACCUUCUCCGCCGCAAGAUCAAACUCAUCUACGACCUUAUAGAGGGUCGGGUGGUCGUGAGAGUCGGACCGGGGGAGCGGAUCUUCAUCCCGGAUCUCUACUGGGUUGCGGUUGACCUCGUGGGGAAGGUUUUGGGCCCUCUCCCCGUCUUCAGCGGCUUUGCUCGGGAGGAAGUCACGGUAGUGAUAGGUGUUCGUUGCCGGAGCUUGGUUGUUUUGGUCCGAUGAUUGUGGCGGGGAGGAUGAUCCAGCGCUGCUGGACUGUGGAACAUCGUUUGCUGGGGAAGAGCUGUGCAUUCUCUUGAUUUUCUUGCUGUGGUUAUUCGUCAGCGGGAGGGUUUCGACGGAGGAAGUGGAAUUGCUGAUCCUGGUUGUUGACACCUCAAUUUUAAUUAGGUUAAUUUUAUUUUAUUAAGUUUUUAUUUUAUUUCGGAUAAAUAAGAUAAUUAAAAAAAACCAAAAAAACAAGUAAAAACAAGAAAAGCAAAAAGCAAAAAAAAAAAAAAAAGCAGCAACCCCCCUUUUUUCUUCACGUGGGCUCGUGCGACUUGGCCCCACCCCCCUUUUCUCCUUCUUCUUCCUUCUUCUUCUUCCCUCUUCUUCUUCCUCGCUCCUUCUUUCUCCGCCUCUGUAGUUCACGCGCAGAAGAUGACGACGCGCGCAAAGGACGGCCUACGGCCGAGGGGAGUAGGCCGACGUCGGCCGGAGAAGAUAAGAUCGUGAGCGCCAUCAAUGCCGAGCAUGCUUCGCUGGAUGAGCUCGGAUGGGACGCCGGUUCAGCCGAGGAGAACCGCUCGGCGCACGAAGGGGACCGGCAGUCAAAGCUCCGUCGACCGGAUUCCCUCGCCUAUAAAAGGGCAUCACCUUCGUCGAAGAACAGCACGGGCGAGCUCGGAGAUCCUUCACUGAGAGACAUCGGGAAGGAUUGAAGGGCGAGUGCGGGAGAGAACUUGGGUCGCGAGCUCGGCUGACCUUCCACUGAGAGACUUCGAGGGAGGCCGCCGGCGAGCGAGUCCGAGAAGGUCAGAUCCGGCCGGUGGAGGCUCGGAUCUGGCCUGAGUGAGAGAGAAGCGAGGUCGGGCUGAGAAGUGAAGAAGGUGAGAUCCGAGCGGAAGGAGCUGAGCGAGAGAAGAUCCGAAGGAGAGAGGGUCGAGAUCUGGGCGCAGAUCUGGAAAUCCGCCGUGCCGAGUUGCCCCGAGCCAGGCCGCCGCCGUCGCUGUGGCCGAGCACCAGUCCCGACGCCGUCAAACCGUACUGUCGCCCCCGCGCCUCGCUGCUGCUGUUUUUCCCGACGCCAUCCAGGUUUAAGGGCCGCCGUCAUCGCCACAAGCCGUGCCGUGCCAACGCCGAGAGCAGGUGACAAUAGAUCCUGCCCACGCCAUACCGAUUUCUGCUCGAAGCUCUGACCGUCGUCGCCGCCGUCGCCACCGUGCACCUCAGCCUUCCCCUCUCCGGCACCGUGAAUCGAGAACCCUAGGGUUCUCGAUUUUCCGGGUCGCGGCCUCAGGUCAGUGGGUCGGACCCGGGGCUACGAGUCGGGUAGGGUUUCUCCGUAUUUUGGGGAGCGGCGGAAACCGGGUGGGGUUCGGGUCGGAUCCGGGUAGGGUUUCACCGGGGGAGCGGGUUGUGGAGCCGGGUCGUCGGGCCGGGCUGGAUCCCUCCCAAAACGAUGGGCCACGACGUCAUUUCAAUAAAUAAAAAAAAAGAAAAGAAAAAGACGAAAAAAUCCGAGUCGGGCCCGCAACGCGAGCCCGUCCUCGUUCGGAUCGCUGGCCCGGAUCGGACCCAACCCGCGGAUCCGACCCGGGUCAGUUUUUAUAUUAUUUUAAUAUAAAAUAAUAUUUUAAAUAAAAAAAAAUUUAUUUUCAAAAAAAAUUAAAAAAAAAUUAUUUUCAAAAAAUAUUAAAAAAUGUUUAAUUUCUAGAAAAUCGAAAAAUAUUUAAAAAUGUCGAAAAAUGUUUUAUUUUCCAAAAAAAAUAAAAAAUAUGCCAAAAAUCCAAAAAAGGCCAAAAAUUCAUGAAAAAGCCAAAAAAUUCAGAAAAGCCAAAAAGACUUGUAUUUUUCAAAAAAAAAAUCUCAAAAAAUCCCUUUUGCGUCCAAAAUUAGAAAAUGACUCAAAAAAUGUUUUCCCUCCCAAAAAUGCAUGGAAAAUCUCUCGAACAUCCAAAAAACCUAAGGGUUUAAACAAGAUUAGAUACCGAAAGGGCAUUAGUGAUUAACUAGUGUAAUCAAGUCCCCGAUCCUAAUUUCUCUGGUUGCGCAGGAGCAAGUAUUUCUCCCGAUACUUCGCUUGGGUUUCUAAUCGACCCACCCCAAACCGAUUAGUGGCGACUCCAUUUUAAAAUUAAUUUACAGGUCAAAAAUUUAGAUUAUUAAAGUCGUGAAUUGGUGGACUUGGGAGAGUCCGGGCUUAAUAAUUUCAGCCGAGCCAUUAGCCUCCUUAGGCGCUCGUACCCGAUUGUGUGCGCCGAGAAAAAAAAGGUCGCGACACUGGUGGAAACAAUUUCUCUGCAAUAUGGAACGAGCAUGAAAGGUGAGCAACACCGAUCUUUAAGUGAAACAAAUCCCAAAAAAUCGUCAAGAGUGCCAAUCUUAAGUCUUGUCAGAAUUGACCGGAUCGUACAAUUAAAUCAAUGCGGAAUCACCGUCUGUUCUGAACCUGUGGCCAAGAAAGUCCGGCUUCAAGGCAUCCCCGGGCGUGAAGACGUCAUCCAGCGGCUCCUGGCUUAAAGAACGAAGUCCACCGUGCGGCAAAAGAUGAAUCUUUUUUUAUGAACAUAAAGAAAGGAACUCAAACCUACGCUUUUAUAUUUGUUUUAUGCGGUCAAAUUCUUAUAUAGAUAGAGACCACCGUAAUAGAUAAGACCAAUAAGCGGAAUGCCUAUCCUUUCCCUUCUUAUUUUUAUUUUCUCGUGCGAUUUCUAGUGUUGCUUAAGUGCCCUGUUGAUGUAGCCGACCUUGAUAUUUAUCUCCAGCGAAAUAAACACUCGAGGAAUUCCAUGCCUAAUUAUUCCAACAAUUCAAAUCGAUAUACAUCCUCCGAUCAGAUUGAGUUUCGUAAAUGACUUCAAAUUCAGCACAAUAUAAACUUAAUUUCGCCAAUAUGAUUGCCACAUGGCAUAAUUGUGCCAUGGGACCCAUAUUCGCCCAAUCAGUAUUAGACACGUAAUUUGUACAUCUACUUCACAGGAAAUUUCAAGUCACCUCGAAUCGAUUUUCGAUGAGUUUUACUCUUUAAUCCUUUUAAUUGUCUUCAAUAAAAUUACUCAUUCCAUUUCCAAUCUUAAUCGUUCACUUUACAGGAUUCUACGGAUGCCGCUUGGGUUAAUGAAAUCAUUUCUCCAAGCGAUUCACAUUGUGUUGAAUCUAUCAUUUUCCAUUUUUACUUUAUAUCAUUUUAAAUUCAGGGAUUUGAUUACAUAAAAAAAUCAUUUAAUGCAUUUUAUUAUAGAAAUAGUAUUUACUAGUUAUGUAAGGCUUACUGCGCUUCUCUGAUUUAAUUAGUUUUCCUAUAUUUGCUAGUUUUAUUAAUUUCAUUAAUUUAAUUUUUAGACUAUUUAAGAGGAAUUUUUUUAUAUAUAAACUGAAAAUAUGGAACUUACGGAAUUAUGAUCAUGAAAUGUUUGAUGAGUGUGACCAGAAUUUAUUUAUAAGACAAACGGUUUCACGUCAUUUGGUCAUCCAAAAAAUGAUACAUAUAAUUUUUCCUUGAUUUCUUCUUCGAUUAUUUAAUUUCCAUCUUAUUUUCACUUCUAUUGCUCAUAAAAUGUUAAAUUUCCGUGUUAAGUAGAAGGAGAAGAGGUAGAAAAGGGUUUUAGUUAAUGUAAUUUGCAAACAAAUUUUUGACAUAUGUAACCCAUGACAAGCAUGGACAAGAACUGUGAAGAUGCUUAUAUAAAUUAUAUUAGAAAAAUCUCACAUCAACAAAUGGUAUAGUUUGAGUAGUUAAAAUAUCAUAAUUGGUCCUAAUUAACUUAAACUUUUGAGUCAAGGUUCAGUUAAUACCGGGCUUCUAUUACACGUCUCCAACAAAUUGAUAUUAGAGUUGGUGAUUGGUUGGUGGAACGAAUUAUCAAGUUGGUAUAGGCUGUUUUAAUCUCCUUCAAAAGGUUUUUGAGUUAUUCUGUUGGUAUAAACCAUUUUAAUUUCAUUCAAAAGGCAUUUCGCGACGGGAAAAACUAAUCAUUUAUUCUUGUAACUCUUUUGGUGUGUUUGUUUGAGUGAAAGUGUUUUCCAAAAAUUAAUUUUUCGAUCCUUCACAUGUUUGAUUUUCCGGUCAAUAAUCAUAUACAUGCUUAAAAUAAGCAAGCACACCAGUAGACCAACAAUGUAUGCUGAAUCCUAUAUUGUUGGGAUUAACGGAUCCCCAAAAACUGGAUUCGACACUAAAUCGAACCCCUAAAAGAGUGCGGAAGACGAAGCCCGGGAAAAUCACGUAUCACCGAUCCUAAAGCACACCAUGGAUUCGAGCGUACCUUGUUAGCCACAGAUUAAACACCAAUGCUGAAGUGAGGAAGAGAAAUUGGCCCUGUUCGAUUCGAUGAUGACAAUUCGCUUGAAGGGAAGACAGCGUCGCCUCUUUUUGCUUACUGUUCCUUUUGGAUGAGAGAGAGAGAACGUUGGAAAGAGAGGGAGACGUAUGUACGGUAUGUCCAAGAGGUGCGUUCUCCCUCUCUCUCCUCCCUUUUAUACGUCCCUCCAUCCACGGGCCAUAUUCCUAUGGGCCAGGCUUUUAGGCCCAACAUGGGCGGACGGGCCUUAAGCCCAUCUCAUAUAAAACCAUCAUCUCCCACUCGCACAUGGUGGGCUGAACAUAAUUCUCUUUACCUCUCUUCAACAUUCAUACCGGUGAAUAAUCCGUGCGACCAGCAUACUUUGAGAGCUCGUUGCCAUACAUCUAUUAGGAAUAUAUAGCAGCUCAUAAUGGGCAUCACACUCCGAGUAGAUUUAGUAUGCAGUACCCUAGAUCGAUCGAUCACAUUUAUAUCUCUCUUGAUCCCUUUCAAACAAUUAUAUAUAUAAUAUAUAUAUAUAUAUAUAUAUUAUAUUGUAUUCACAAUUAUGAUUAUCUCAAAGACAGUCAUAAUUGGUUAACCGGUGAAUACAAAACUACAAUGUGAUUCUCUAAAAUCGAUCUUCCUCUUCCCUUCAAACUCUCAAUUUAAGUUCAGCUUGCUUUUCUAAAAAUGCCCCAUUAGAUCGAAUCAACUCAUGACCAUUGGCAACAUCCUAAGAUAGCAAACACUAAAUAGAAAUCUUGAGAAUAAGUAAGAGUCAUGAGGAGACUAAAAAUUGAGGAACUCUUUUCCUCAAGAGUCUCACACGACAUAAAAGUUGAGAUAAAACUUUUGUCACUCUUAUUGGUUGUUUCAUGCAUACGUAAUAUGAAAUACGUAUUACGGUAUUAACUCAUUUCCCAUGGAGCGUAUGUCUAUACCUUUCAAUACCGUACAGAUGAUAGUUCAGACAUACCCAAUGUCUAACUUGAGUUCACGUAUCUACUCAUUCACAAAAUUCAUCAAAACUCACAUCUUGCAUCAUAGACAGAUAAAGUAAAAUAUGUUGGGUAUUUUACUUUCGGACAUAGUAAGUAUUAUGUCCUCAUCUUAACACUCAGUUAAGGCGACAUACGUAUUUUAAGCUUGAGCUCUCGACUAUCAUCUAGAUAAUAAGCUUAAAAACAGUCUCAUCUCUAUUUAUCACACAGUAAAUAGAGGCGAUUACCCGUGUGAGUGGGCUAAUCUUAUAUCUAUCCGACAUACUUUCUCAACUUAAAAUAAUACACUAAGCAUUAAGAUGCAUAAAGAUCAAACAAAGAUUCAUAGGCAUUAAUGAUGAAAAAACACAAAUUCAUCAAAUGUGAACACUUCAGGGAAAUUACAAUCCAGUACAUCAGACUCUACGCAAUCCUAGAGAUUUUACAUGGCCACAAAACACAUCUCUAGGUUUUGGCUUUGUCAUAGGAUCUGCUACCAUUCUAUGCGUAACAUGUACUGUAAGUUCACAUCUUUUCGUGCAAUCAUAUUCUUGACAAAAUUAUACUUGGUAUCUAUAUGUUUGGUCUUGCCAUGAUAUUUUGGAUCUUUGGUGUACGCUUUUGCUGCUUGGCUAUCACAGUUAACCAACAAUGAAUCUGUAGCACUUCAAAUAACACCUAAAUGAUCCAAUAAUCUCUUAAGCCAAAUAUCUUCUUUUAUUGCUGCUGAUAAUGUCACAAACUCAGUUUCCAUCGUGGACAAGGCUAUACACCUUUGUUUCUUACUGCUCCAACAUAUGGUGCCAUUAUUCAGUAAGAAAACAAAGCUAGAGGUAGAUUUUCUUUCAUCUAAAUCUCCUCUCCAAUCAGCAUCAGAAUAGCCUUUGAGUUGCAGAUCCUUUCCAUAAUAACUCAAUGUAUAAUCAGCAGUCCCCUUUAGAUACCUUAGUAUUCAUUUAACGGCUUUCCAACGUGCUUGACCUGGGUUGGAUAGGUAUCUACUCAUUAUUCCAACUGCAUAACAUAUGUCAGGUCUUGUACACAUCAUAGCGUACAUCAAGCUCCCAACAACACUAGCAUAAAGAACAUAUUUCGUUUGUUCCUUCUUUUGUGGAGUCCUUAGACACAGUCUAUGGCUCAAUCCUUCACCUUUUGCAAUAGGAGUGUCUUUGGGUUUACAAUCCCAUAUCAUUCAAUUCAAAAUUGGAAGACAACCAACUUUUUGACAGUAUUGGCAAGCUCUAUAUUACUUCCGGCAAUUAGUAUAUCAUCAACAUAUACUGAUAUGAUCACAAAUUGAUCCUUGGAUCUUUUGAUAUAUAUAUAUAUAAUGAUCCUCAUCUAUCAUUGUAAAAUCAUAUGCCAUUAUGGCAUUAUGAAAUCGUAUAUACCAUUGUCUUGACGACUGCUUAAGGCCAUAUAUCAACCUCAAAAGUCGACAUACCUUUUCUUCUUGGCCUUUCACUAUGAAACCAGCAUGUUGUUCCAUAUAUGUUCCUUCCUCUAAUUCUCCAUUGAGGAAAGUAGUCUUUACAUCCAUUUGAUGUAACUCAAGAUCCAUACUAACAAUUAUUGCCAGAAUUAUGCGAAUCGAGGUAAAUCUCACUACAGGAGAAAAUGUUUUUCAUAAUCAAUUCCUUCAUGUUAANNNNNNNNNNNNNNNNNNNNNNNNNNNNNNNNNNNNNNNNNNNNNNNNNNNNNNNNNNNNNNNNNNNNNNNNNNNNNNNNNNNNNNNNNNNNNNNNNNNNAUCGAGCCAUCAGCCUUUCGCUUAUUUUGAGAACCCACUUGUUCCUAAUAGCUCUGCGUCCUUUUUUGAAGAUCAACCAGUUCCCAGACUUGGUUUGAUUUCAUGCACUCCAUUUCCUCUUUCAUUGCAUAAAUCCAUUUUUCCUUACUAGGGCAAUUUAGAGCCUCAUUUAUAUUUCUUGGCUCAUCCUCAUCUUGCGGAGCAAUCAUAAAAGUUUCCCCUUUAAUGUCAAAACGUCGACGGGGAAUACUUUGGCGACUUGUUCGCCGUAUAGGAGAUUGUACACUUAGCACAUUAUUCCCCAUAAUGCUCCCACUAGGAUUAGAUAAUGAUGACAUCGUCUCAUCAUAUGGUUGUAAUUGAGAAUGAGUUGAAUUCAAUUCAUCACUUCUCAUAUUACUCCCACUUGGACGAACUCCACUAAUAUUAUUAUCUUGAUCUAAGGUUUCAAAUAGGAAGUAAUCUUCCCCUAUUUCGCCCCUCUUAGGAAAUUCAUCCACUAAGGAUGUGACAUCCCGUGAUUCAAAUUCAGUUAUACUCCCACUUUCCUGCUCACCUAUGAACACAUACCCUUUCGAGUGUUCGGAGUAUCUCAUUAAAAUAUUCUAUUUUUCUUCGGGACCCAAUUUCCCAAACUUGUGAGAGGACUUAUGAGUAUAGGCAACAUAACCCCAUGGCUUAAGUAAACUUAAGUCCGGUUUUCUACCUAUCCAUAACUCAUAUAGAGUGGAACUAACUAAUUUGGAAGGCACCCGGUUAAGUAUAUAAGCAGCAUUUAACAACGCAUCACUCCAAAAAAGUGAUAUGUAAGUUAGCAUGCGCCAUCAUGGACCUAACCCUUUCCAGUAGGGUUCUGUUUCUUCUCUCUGCAACACCAUUUCGUUGAGGAAUAUUUGGAAUAGACAAAUUUUUUUCUAUUCCUUUUUCACCACAUAAUUUUCUGAACUCAUCAGAUAAAUAUUCUCGACCUCGAUCGGAUCUCAAAACUUUUAUUUUCUUGUCUAAUUGAUUUUCUACCAAGUUCACAAAUCUUUUGAAACAACAUAAUGCUUUAGAUUUAUGAGAAAUCAAAUAGACAUAUCCGAAUCGAGUAUAAUCAUCUAUAAAAGUGAUGAAAUAAACAACCCUAUGACUUCCUCUCACAUUCAUUGAACCACAGACGUCAGAAUGGAUUAAAUGCAGAGGAAAUUCAGUUUUUUUACCUUUUCCAAAUGGUUUCAUUAUCGAUUUCCCUACUAGGCAUUGCUCAUAUAUGGGCAAAUCGACUUUUUCAAUAUUGCCCAACAAGCCUUCUUUGGCUAGUCUAUUCAUACGAUGUUGGCCAAUAUGGCCAAGUCUAGCAUGCCACAUAAUCACAUAAUUAUCAUAUGAAGUAGAAGACAUGAAAUAAGAGAAUAACAAAUAUUGACAUCACUACAGUCAACAUUUAAUACAAUAAAACCAUCCAUAAAAUGACCACAACCAUAGUAGUUUGUAGCCAAAUACAAAUCUACACCGCUAUUACGGAGGUUCACACUUAAAACAAGCUUAACCAACAUCAAAACAGACACUUAAAUUUCGACGAAUCUCCAGAGCAUAUAGAACAUCAUGUAGGAACAAGAUGCGUCCAUCACGCACGCUCAAUUGGCAGGUGUCAAUCCCUUUAACUUCAUCUCUGGAGUUAUAUCCCACAUAGAUCCACUUAGUUCCAGUUGGUACUCGUCGGAAUUCCACGAAGGAUCCUCUAUCCUUUGUUACAUCGUCUGUUGCUCCUGAAUCUACAAUCCACAAAGAAUUGGAUUCAGCCAAUAAUACAGAACUUGACACAUAAGCAAAGUUCUCAAAUGUACAAGAGGUGUUUACCUUCUUUGGCUCACGACAGUCGCGAGCAUAGUGACCUUUCUUGUCACAAUUGUAACACCUCACCCUUGACAUUUUCUUUACUUGAGGACGUUUUCAUCUCUUGUGUUGGUUAACUCUUGAUCUCUUGCAAUAAGGAUUUGAUCAUUUGCAUUCCCACAUAUUGAACGAAUCAAUACGCUUGCGCUUAGAGCUCAAAGCCCUUUCUGAGCUAGAACCAGCAUUUUAAAUAUCUAUUUUCGGCUCACAUGCCGUCAAGCGGUCCUCUACCAGCUCAAGGUGGCGCACAGCAUCCUCAAAAUCUUCCAUAACAUGGUCAAGAGCUUCUAAUGCUUCUUGCUUUUCUAGCACAUAUUGAAUCUUCAUUUUCAAUAUUUCACAAUUGUUGCCGUUCAUUUCAGCAAUUACGUUCUUAGUUGCUGAAAUAAUCAAUCUGAACACAUCAGACAUAUAUGCACGAAUAAUUAAUGCCUAUCAUUUAUGCAUCCAUUUUGCACAUACCCAUCAUAUCAAUGAAUAAUUUUAAGUAAUGUUUCAGAAUCAAAAUGUCACUAUGUUUCCAAUCAUCCUCCAAAAAUCCUAACUUAAAACUAUCAUUAAUAUAAUUGUCUUAUGCAAAAUAAAUUCUAUGAAGUUACAAAAACUUCUAUAACUACCCACAGCAACCAGCAAUAACAGAAAGCAACAUAUAAUUGACAUUCAAUAAAAUAAUAAUGCUUUCAACUAAUACAACAAUCCAUUACACUAAAUAAUAUAUACAAAGAAAAAUAUCAACAUGGAAAGAGAUAUUUAACACUCAAAAAACAUCUCAAACUAAUCUAAGAAAUAAAUAGGGAAAGUCUCUUCUAAUCUAUCAGUCAAAAUAUCUGAGAAAUUUGAAGGCACAUUUGCCAACCAUGGAAAAACUUUUGGAGAGCUCUCAUGUCGCCUCCAAGGCGCAUUCACUCUAAGCCAAUGUGGCGCUCAAUCUAAGGGUUGAAGCUUUGGCCAACUCAAUCCUAUAAUGCUCUCUUACAAAAGCUUCCACUAGCCUCCUAUAACCCGGGACCACGUUGACCUCCCAUAGCCGAUCUAACACUGCUUGCCAUUCAGGUGGAAAAGUGUUCAUCAAAGCCGGCACCUUCUCAAAAUCCGGCAUAAGAUAACUAGUCCAGAUGCUUUCCUGUAUAAUCUGAUUGACCCUGACCACGUGUGAUACUAAAUCACCGUCAUGCCACCGAUAAUCAGCUAACUCUUUCAUCAGCCUUUUAAGUCUAGCUCUUCCUUCGUCUGUUCUCGGGAUUGCAGGUAUCCGUGCAUAACGCAUCAUAGUUCUNNNNNNNNNNNNNNNNNNNNNNNNNNNNNNNNNNNNNNNNNNNNNNNNNNNNNNNNNNNNNNNNNNNNNNNNNNNNNNNNNNNNNNNNNNNNNNNNNNNNNNNNNNNNNNNNNNNNNNNNNNNNNNNNNNNNNNNNNNNNNNNNNNNNNNNNNNNNNNNNNNNNNNNNNNNNNNNNNNNNNNNNNNNNNNNNNNNNNNNNNNNNNNNNNNNNNNNNNNNNNNNNNNNNNNNNNNCAACGGUCAGGUCGUCGGUCGUCGGAUCAGUCGAAUCGGACGGACCGAUCGGCCCGGUCGGGCCGGGUCGGACGAACUGACCGCACGUGCCGCGCGCAUGCGCGGGCUGACGUCACGCAGACGUUAGUUGGCACGUGCCGCACGUGUGCCAGGCGUCCGCAGGACGGGUCGGGUCGCCGGCCAAUGACCGCCCGGCCAACCGUCGUCGGCGUUGACGUCAUCGAUGACGUCAUCCCAGCGGUUACCGACCGUUGGGUGAUGUCGUGCUGACGUCAGCACGCGUCGGUCCACCAACCGGCGCGUGCUGGUUCGCCGGCUGGCAGCGCGCACGUGCCGGUUCGCCGACCGGCGCGUGUGGCGCACGCGCUGGCCAAUGCCAGCGCUUCGGGCGCGUGCGGCGUCGCCCGGCGGCGCACGACAUGUCGCCGGACUCGUCUCGACGAGUGCUUUCACCCUAUGCUUUCAGAAAAUGAUUUCGACUUACAGAAACUCGAAAAAAUGGACGAACAGCGCUCGGGUGUCGGGAUUUCUCGCCCCGAUCCGUACGGCCGAAAAUUUUCUCGAAAAAUCAAUCAAAAAACAUCAAACAGGUCGGGAAAACGUGAACUAGGGCUCUAAUACCAAUGUUGGGAUUAACGGAUCCCCAAAAACCGGAUUCGAUACUAAAUCGAACCCCUAAAAGAGUGCGGAAGACGAAGCCCAGGAAAAUCACGUAUCACCGAUCCUAAAGCACACCACGGAUUCAAGCGUACCUUGUUAGCCACAAAUUAAACACCAAUGCUGAAGUGAGGAAGAGAAAUUGGCCCUGUUCGAUCCGAUGACGACAAUUCGCUUGAAGGGAAGACAGCGUCUUCUCUUUUUGCUUACUGUUCCUUUUGGAUGAGAGAGAUAGAACGUUGGAAAGAGAGGGAGACGUACGUACGUUAUGUCCAAGAGGUGCGUUCUCCCUCUCUCUCCUCCCUUUUAUACGUCCCUCCAUCCACGGGCCAUAUUCCUAUGGGCCGGGCUUUUAGGCCCAAUAUGGACGGACGGGCCUUAAGCCCAUCUCAUAUAAAACCAUCAUAUAUAUUACAUCCUGCUACACGUAAGAAAAGAGUUAACUCUCCAAAGCAAAGCAACCCAUCAAAUGUUCACGUCACGUGUAAGGCCAAUUCAUUGAGAACAUAUACCUGUCGAAGAAGAAGUACAGGAAAAGCAUCGAUCAUGAAACUUUAGCCUUAAAGCAGCGAGCAGACGAUGACACGCAGACACCCAUCCGACGGAAUCAAGAAAUCAUACAAGAAGACCACAGCGUUAUCAUUCCAGUUCCUAAGUAAAAGAAUAAACAAUCCAAAGUGCCAGGAUCAGUGUGCCAAACACGACGAGACAGGAGUCGACAGCAAUGAAAGGCCAAGACGUUCAGCCCUAACUAAUGGGAAGAACGCGAGAGCAUCGUAAUGAUCGAGAGAGCCAAAGCCGACAACCGGAACGCGUCCUUGUUCCUCCUGGCCAACGGCGAUCCCGUGCCUUUCUCCGUGAACCCGUCCUCGCACGUCGUCGAUGCGUCCAUGACCGAGCUCAGGUCGAUGUUUGCGUCCCCGUACCUCUCGUCCUUGUAGGCUCUGAUGGCCUCUGCAAGCGUCGGGACCACGUCAGAGUACAGCUCCAAGCAAUCUUGCAAGCAUGCUCUGACGGAUGGAUCCAUCUUCUUGCUCUUCAGAAGCUUCUCUGUGUAAGACCUCGUGCGUGUCACGUUGUGCCGCAACAGCUUGAUGGAGACGAGGCCGAGCCCUCGGAGGUUGUCGCAGUGGCAGUACGGGUUCGACUCGAGCGACGCGACGCAGAACUUGUAGCUGACGUUGGGGUCUUCUUGCGCGCAUUUCUUGCACGUUUCGUAGAUUAUGUUGGUGCUGCCGCCAUCUGCAGAAGCAGCGUGGAGGG